rnacentral:lncRNA from 1 species
UGAAAUGAAGUAUGCAUAGAUGUCUACUUGAGGUGCAUGAGGAAGUGGAUGCCUACGCCACCGAUGGAAGGUCUUCUGGGGUGCUGGAGUGCUGCCGCGCAAAUCACAUGAAAAGAUCUGUUAUUAUGCAGAAAAUAACGAAUCAUAAAAAUACAAGAGAAUUAACAUAAAAUUAAUGCCGUCCAUCUGUGGUAUAUAGUGCUUCAGGAACAUCAGUCGCACAUACACAAGAAUGGAUCUAGCUCAACUAAAAAAAUAGAUCUAGCUCUGUAUACUCUAGCCAAUGGAUUCUUACUGAUUAAGUUGGGGUGGCAGUGGGUGACCCAUAUUCACCUCGCUGACGGGGAUUGAUGUAUGUUGCCAGUGGCCUAUAACACAGAGAAACAUGGAGGCCGUCGUCUCGUUGCCCAGUCUGAUGGAGACGGUGUGCACCUGCUCGGUUGACGUACACACACUAGUCGCCGACGAUCGCUACAAGACUGAGGAGCAUAGAUGGUGUGCACCUGCUCGGUUGAUACGCACAUGCUAGUCGCCGACGGCCGCUAUAAGAAUGAGCAGCAGAAAUACAUGCGUCGGCGGCGCAGAACGACGGAGUAUUCUAAAGAAAAUGGAGAGUUCUUUCGGUAGUAUCUGGACGAUAUGGUCUGCGUGCUACCUACAAACACGGGAUCCGUUCAACUGACUUUGGGAUCUCGCGUGAUUAUCCAACGCAAUUAACUAGAUUAAUUAUUAAAUACUAAACGGGUUUGUUGCCUAACAGCGGCCGUUUAGAGAACCAUGCCCGGCUUGCACAGAGCAGGAGUAUGUACUCCUAGGAGUAUGGACCCGUUUUCAUAUAUAUAUAUAUAUAUAUAUAUAUAUAUAUAUAUAUAUAUAUAUAUAUAUAUAGUAUUACUAUUCAUCACCCAGGGUGCAGAAUAAGUUAUUCUUCACCCGAGGUAAUCUUACGAUUAUUUCAUAAUUAAAUUAUGUUUCGAAUUCAAAUAGUUUCGUUCCUAUUGAUUCAUUAUGUAAAAUUUGACAUAAGAAAAUAAAAAUAUAAGUCAUAAGACAAGAAAAUUUGCAGUUUAUGUGUAUUCUAGACUAUGUUUUUACGUUUGUAAUUUUACAUAACAUAAAAUAUUUUUUACGGCGAUUAUAUAUUUUCUUACGGUCCCUUUUUGCGUCGGAAAUAAGACAAAACUUACGAAACGUAAAAUUACGGUGCAUUGAUGGUAAAAUAGAGGGGGGUGAAAAAUAACUAUUCCUCACCCAGGAUGACGAAUAGCGCGACCCUAUAGUAACACUAUUCUAAUCCCAGGAUUAGAAUAACUAUUUGGAUCACGGCGCGCCCUAUAUAGGGCCCGAAGAGGUGUUCUCAAACUCCUGAGAAAACCCACCCGACCAGUUAAAGAAAAAAACCCACUCCACCCACUUCCCACGACUCCCUCCACUACCCUCUCCCGAUCCCAUCUGCACACUCCUCACAGCAUCGCGCCGCCGCCGAUGAACUUCUCCCGAUCCACCACCGCCGCCCUACAUCCCGCCGGCGCGCCUAACUCCGGCCACCUACCGCCGCCACCGACGAGCGGAUCCAGCGCCGCGCCAGGUUCGGCCGCCCCUUCUUCCCCAGCGCGCUCCCGCCACCAGAGCGCCCCCCGGCCCAUGGGUCCCGCCGCCGGUCUCCUCCUACAACCCCGCCGCCACCGUCCCCCGGGUCCAGCUGCAACUCCGCCACACGCCUCGGAUCCGGCUGCGGCGCCGCCCCCCACCGCAGGAUCCAGCCGCCGCCCCAACCGCGAGAUCCGUCCGCCACCCCAUCCAGCCGCCGCGAUGUCAUCGUCCAUCGCCCUGUGGUGCAGUGCGGCGCGCCCUUCCCUCCCGUCCGGCGCGAACUUCCCUCUACGCCACCUCGACCUUCCCUCCCCUUCGGUGCAGCCUGCCCUCUGCUCCGGCGCGCCCUCCUACUCCUCCUCCACGUGCGGCAUGAACCUGGCCUUCGACCGCAAGCUCAUCAGCCCGCCCAUAUACUUCGGCCUCAUGGGCGACGGCCAGCCCAUCGGACGCUACGACGACAUGUGGCUGACUGGUGCGUCAAGGUAACUAUAACUAAAGUAAACACACACAUCGUCUUUGAGUUUGGUCCGGCUGUACUGAACUUUUACUGAAUAAUUUUUGUAUGUGUGCAGGUGAUCUGCGACCACCUUGGACUAGGAGUCAAGACGGGGCUGCCCUACAUCUGGCACAGCAAGGCCAACAACCCGUUCGUGAACCUGAAGGAGUAAAAGGGCAUCUUCUGGCAGGAGGACAUCAUCCCCUUCUUCUAGGUCGCGAAGCUGACAAGGAAUGCGACACCGUGCAGAAGUGCUACAUCUCGCUCUCGCAGCAGGUCAAGGAGAAGCUCGGCAAGAUCGACCCCUACUUCAUCAAGCUUGCCGACGCCAUGGUCAUCUGGAUCGAGGCCCGGGACAUGCUCAACUCCAAGGACUCCAAGGAGGCCGACGCCAACGGCAAGCUCAAGGGGAAGUAGAUCGAGAUCGAGGGAGAGAACCUUUUUUGCAUUAGCAUACUGAGCAGGCGGUGAGGCGGCGUAUACCGGUUUCUUCAGUUCGUAGGUUCAAUGCGUGCAUCAGGUAUUCAGGUUCAGGCUGUUGUGUAGUACAAAACAUUAGCUGCCUGUAUGUGAGAAAACCAUGCUGUUUCUUAUUUUGUUUAUGUGAGAAAACAAAAAUGUAUUUUAGAAGUUCAUUUAUUAUUUCCCCAAAAGUUCAUAUAUUACUACCUGUAUGUAUUUUGACAUUUCACAACAACUUACAAGAAUUGCGGCUGGAUAGAGCGGCAAAACGAUGGUAUGCCACUCAAGCAGUGCAUCACCGGCAGCCGCGUCGUCUCCUCGGCAGCAAAAAGCAGCUUAACUGAAGUUCAAUUCGUACGCUACUAGUAGGUCAACUACAGCAGCAGCAGAGUUCUUAGCGUCUUCUUCCUAAUUUCCCCAUGUGAAAUUCUAUAAAAAGGAAGGAACAGUCUCCUUCUGGCUCAGCCAUCGGUGAUCCCGUUCGUGCUUCUCCUAAAGACCAAGUCGAACUUCACCAAAAACUAGAAAAAAGAUGAGCACGUUCGUGCUUCUGCUGCAGACCAAGUCGAACUUCACCAAAAACUAGAAAAAAGAUGAGCACGUUCGUGCUUCUCCUGCAGACCAAGUCGAACUUCACCAAAAACUAGAAAAAAGAUGAGCACGGAUGUCUGUCGAUGUCCGUUGUGUUAUCCUGCUGACCAAGCAAUUCAAAAGGAGCAGGUGGUUUCGUUUGCCUAAAGUACAAACAUAAAAACAUUUAGUUUUGAUUCUCUGUAGUUAUUCCUCCUAACUCGAGGGAGCACUAACCAUCCAAAUAUGUGCUCUUAUACCUUUUUCUGUUCAAAGUGUGGUGAGGAAUGAGAGGUACAGUAUGUCUUUUAUAUGAAAAAUGUUCGUAUAGCAACAAGCAGGAAACAAUUGAAAUUAUGUCCUUCUUUUGUUUGAUUGUUUCUGUAUUUGGCUUAUGGAAAAAUUUACUUGAGUUCCGUCUAGAAAAUUUUGAAAAUUUCAAAUUGUAAAAAAGUUAAAACUUCAAAUAGUUAAAAAAAUCACAUUUCCAUGUUUCUAAAAAAUAAACGAAGAUGUUGUAAUAAAAAAAGAGUUUGAUGUUCAUGCGCGAGGCCCGGCCGCGGCGUCGUCCUGCUCCGCCGCGCGGUCGUGGAAGAUGACCAUAGUAUUGUGUGUAAUGCCUGCACAUAGUGUACCAGCACAUAGUGUUGUGUGUAAUACGAAUUGGUGUUGUACUGUGCAUGUAUAUUCUUGUGUAAUUUUUUGCUUUUCCAACAUGAAGUUCAUGUUUUAGAAAAAACUAAGUUCAGAGGUAUCACAUAACAAAAACUUUCAUCCAAAAAAACCCAAAGGUCAUUAGAAAAAGCAUCUCAAACAAUUUUUUAAAAAAGAUUUCUCUGUUAAAAUAAACCUAGAAGUUCAAAUUUAAAAACGGAGUGGUUCAAUGUCUAUCAGAAAGUAGGAUUUUUUCCAUUACUAAAAUAAAUAAAACUAGGAAGUCCAUAUUAAAAAGAUGGAGAAGUUCAAUGAUUAUAGGAAACUCAGAUUUUCCUCGUUAGUAAAGAAUGGAAACAAGAAGUUCAAAAAUAAAAUAACAAGAAUUUCAACUUUAAAAAAUAGAGCGCUUCAAAAUUUCAUAAAAAAGAUUAAGAAAAAAACCAGGAAGUCCAUAUUAAAAAGAUGGAGAAGUUCGAUGAUCAUAGAAAAAUCUCAUANNNNNNNNNNNNNNNNNNNNNNNNNNNNNNNNNNNNNNNNNNNNNNNNNNNNNNNNNNNNNNNNNNNNNNNNNNNNNNNNNNNNNNNNNNNNNNNNNNNNNNNNNNNNNNNNNNNNNNNNNNNNNNNNNNNNNNNNNNNNNNNNNNNNNNNNNNNNNNNNNNNNNNNNNNNNNNNNNNNNNNNNNNNNNNCCUCGUUAUUAAAGAAUGGAAACAAGAAGUUCAAAAAUAAAUUAACAAGAAGUUCAAAAAUAAAUUAACAAGAAGUCCAACUUUAAAAAAAUAGAGCGCUUCAAAAUUUUAUAAAAAAGGAUUAAGAAAUAAAACCGGGAAGUCCAUAUUAAGAAGAUGGAGAAGUUCGAUGAUUAUAGAAAACUCAGAUUUUCCUUGUUAUUAAAGAAUGGAAACAAGAAGUUCAAAAAUAAAAUAACAAGAAGUUCAACUAUUAAAAAUAGAUCACUUCAAAAUUCAUAAAAACAGAUUAAUAAAAAUAAGAUUAAAAAUUCAUAAAAAACUCAAAUAUUUUCAUGUAACCGAGAGAAGUUCAGGUUGAUAACUACUAGAAGUUCAUGUAAUACACGAUGUGCAUUUUGUAUUAAAAAAGAACAAAAAAGAAAAGGCAAAAAGUUUUGUUGUUAUAAGUUCAAGUCCUUCGUCGAAGAAAGUCAAAAAAAUUAUUGUGAGAGAGAUUUGUACAAAAGGAAAUAACAUUUGUGUAACACUGACGAAUGGAUGAGAAAAUUACAAACGGAAAUACAUCACAGAAGUUCAACUGAAAACAGCAGGAAGUUCACCUACUACACUGAAUGAAUUUUAGAUGAAAAACUUUUAAAAUCGUCGCGAGUAUGAAAAAAUGAUCAACACGGGAAAGUUAAGUGCUUACAGCAGCUUUCCACCGGUAUAUCACUUGCUCAAUUCCGGUGAGUGGAUGGAGAGCUACGAGAAGUGGAUGGAGACCUACGAGCAAAAAAAUCACGUGAAAAACAGAGUGAAGUUCAGGUACACGCGUCGAGAAGUCCAGGUUCUUCACGCGGUGCAUUUUCGAAGAAUCUGUUUCGCGAUAAAGGCAUAACGCAUGAUCCCGCCGUUUUUGAAAUUACUUGAAAACGGCUAGGAAUCAGAGAAAACCAUAAACAUGAAAAAGUUUCGCAUUUUCCGUAGCUUUUCAGCGGUAUAUUGUUUGCCCCAUUCCGAUAAAUUUUGUAGAAAUUACGGCAAAAAUACGUUUUUAACCAUUUUCAAAACUGACAUAAAUCGUAGAGAAUUAGGAGAAACAAUAUAUACAAAAAAGUUUCACAUUUCUUCAAGCUUUCCAACGUCAUAUCAUUUGCUGCAUUUGGACGUACGGUUAAAAAAUUAGAUCAAAAAUAUGAACUCGGUGGAACUUGUACCAUUUUCUAAAUUACUUUUAAACCAUUCAAAAUUAGAAAAAAAAAUUUAACAUAAAAAAGUAGCGCAUUUUCAUAAGCUUUCCAAUGCCAUAUUAUUUGCCUCAAUUGGAUUAGCCGUUUAGAAAUGGCGUAAAAAAUACGAACUCGGGUGUUCGGUUUACGAAAUUUUACGAUUUUACGAAUUACUCUUUAACCGUAGGGAAUUAGAGAAAACUUUCAACAUGUGGAAGGAGCGGUUUUGCAGCAGCUUUCCAACGCCAUAUUAUUUGCCUCAUUCCGAUAAACGGUUUAAAAAUACGAUCGAAAAUACAAUUCACGUUUUUUGUAUGAAGAAAAAACGGUUUUCAAAACUGCUCUUAAACCGCUUACAUUUUUCCAAAAUUUUAACUUGAGUCAUGAUACUGAUGUCCAUAGCUAUCCAACGGUAUAUCGCAAGCCCCAUUUGGACACCUUUUAGCUGAAGUUCAACCUAGUACUCGGGGAAGGUCAGGCGCGUUACUCGGGAAGUUCAUGUUGUGAUCAGAAUAUUAUUCUGAUCCCGUGAUCAGGAUAGUGUUUACGUGUGUGUAUAUAUAUAUAUAUAUAUAUAUAUAUAUAUAUAUAGUGGCACUAUUCUAAUCCUGGGAUUAGAAUAGUUAUUUGGAUCACGGUGUACCCCUAUAAGGGCCCGAAGGGAAGUUACUGAGAUCGGGCGAGAUAACAAAAAAGGCCCAAAGGCCCCAACCUCUUAUCCUAUCGCCCAUUGUCGGUGUCAAAACCGGCGGAUCUCGGGUAGGGGGUCCCGAAUUGUGCGUCUAGGCCGGAUGGUAACAGGAGGCAAGGGACACGAAGUUUUACCCAGGUUCGGGCCCUCUCGAUGGAGGUAAAACCCUACGUCCUGCUUGAUUAAUAUUGAUGAUAUGGGUAGUACAAGAGUAGAUCUACCACGAGAUCAGAGAGGCUAAACCCUAGAAGCUAGCCUAUGGUAUGAUUGUUGUUGUGUAUGUUGUCCUACGGACUAAAACCCUCCGGUUUAUAUAGACACCGGAGAGGGUUAGGGUUACACAAAGUCGGUUACAAUGGUAGGAGAUCUACAUAUCCGUAUCGCCAAGCUUGCCUUCCACGCCAAGGAAAGUCCCUUCCGGACACGGACGAAGUCUUCAAUAUUGUAUCUCCAUAGUCCGGGAGUCCGGCUGAAGGUAUAGUCCGGCUAUCCGAACACCCCCUAAUCCAGGACUCCCUCAGUAGCCCCUGAACCAGGCUUCAAUGACGACGAGUCCGACGCGUAGAUUGUCUUCAGCAUUGCAAGGCGGGUUCCUCCUCCAAGUACUUCAUAGAAGAUUUUGAACACAAAGAUAGUGUCCGGCUCUGCAAAAUAAGUUUCCACAUAUUGCCAUAGAGAGAAUAAUGUUUACACAAAUCUAAUCUGCUGACGUAUUCCGUAGUGUGACACACCACGGCCAAGCCUUUAUCCGAGUCGUUUCAUUAUCCCACCUCAGCGCGUCAUGCGAGGCGGUUUCCUUGGCACGUCUUGUUAAAGUAGAGAUCGUGUCCCCUUAUUCCGGGAUUCUCACCAAUACGGGCGUGGGUAACCCAACCGCUUCUAGGACUCCUAGAUUAUAGGCAAGUCCAAACGGACACGGAGAGGACGCUUGAUAUUCACCAUCUUUAUAAAGGGACAAGGCUUUUAUUUUUCCCUCCCGUGCUCAAUCGAAUCCUUCCCCCACCUCAAUCUCAAACGCCCAAAGUUCAGGUCAGGUGCUCCAAACCUUCAGUCAUGUCCGGAUCUAGCCUUCAAGGCCGAUGGGUGCCUUCCUCCGUCACGGAAGAAGACAUCAAAAAGUUGAGGGAGGCCAGAUAUCUGACCGCUGAGAUUUUGCAUCGGCUGCCUCCCCGAGGGCAGGCCGUCCCCACCCCCGAACGCAAUGAGAAUGUCGUGUUCGUCUCCCACUUCCUUCGAGGUCUAGUCCUUGCUCUGGAUCCUUUCGUCAGGGGUUUGAUGUUUUAUUAUGGGCUAGACUUCCAUGAUCUAGCUCCGGACUCCUUUCUUCAUAUCACGACAUUUAUUGUCGUGUGCGAGGCCUUCCUCUGGGUUACCCCUCACUUUGGCCUAUGGCUCAAGACCUCUGAAGUAAAGCCAAAGAUGAUCGAGGGGCAGCAUGCAGCGUGUGGAGGUGCCUCAAUACGCAAGAUGACGGGAGCUCCAUGGCCCAAAGGUUCCAUCCCAGAGGUGUCUGAAUUGUGGCAACAGGAGUGGUUCUCCAUCAUGGCUCCUAGAAGUGCCAAGUGGGUGGCCGCCUCUGUUUUCCACUCGGGCCCUCCACCACAACUGAUGUCAUGGAUCAGCAAAGGUCUGAGCUGGGGUCCAGCCAAGGACGUGCCUAUACUGCAAAGCCGCAUUCGAUAUCUCUUCGAUGGAGAUUUCAAUUUGGUUGCGGUAAUACAAGUUAUGAUGGUUCGUCAAGUCCAGCCUUGCAAACGCCGGCCUCUUCGCCUGUGGGAGUUCAAUCCCGAGGGACCGCAUGUCAUUCAAAAUUUUCCCGGCCUAACGCACAAGGAGAUAUACAAGUCAUUCUUCGGACCUCAGGUGGAGUGUACGGAAAUCACCGAGGACGUGGGCCUGAGUAGUAACCGCGCCGCCGAACAGGUAAGGCAUCUUUCAGCCGAACAUACUAUCUCUCCUUUGUUACAAAGUUAUUUCUGAGAGUUUGCUUUUUGACCAAGACUGGCUAACAAAGGCGAAGUUGAUUCGGUGUUCGACCCCCCUCCCUAAGGGUUUGGAAAAUCUGGUAUUGGAAAAGAUGCUCCAGACCGCACCUUGCGCGGAGCCCUCGAAGGAAGAUACUGUGGAGGAUAACGCGGGCGGACGCGGGCCCCCAACGCUGCCCAUUCUAACCAAGGGAGCGAGCGUCUCCAUGAAGGAAGACGACCAGAAGAGGAAAAGGACUGCGCCCGGGGAUUCGGAAGCCGAACCUUCCAAACAGGAGAAGAAGUCUCCCACAGAGGGUCCUACCUUGGGGGGCGCUGUUGCCGCACAAAGUCCGCGGGGGGAUCAAUUCUCCCGCGAGUCGUAAGUGACCCGAAAUACUUUAAUAGUACAGAUAUGCCAUCAUUUUCUUCUGAGAAAAUAACCACCGCAUAUAUUUUUGCAGUUCGGGCCUUAGCCCCUCUCAAAUGAGCUCGUCUUCGGGGUAUCUUCUUCCAGAGAUGAUGGAGAGCGAAACGCCUCCUCUGGACUCCUCCGCUCCGGAAGCGGGCGACCCUGAAGUGUCGUCGUGGAGGGCCUCUCCGAGUUCGGUGAGGCCAGAAGAUAAUCCCAUUCACCCCCAAAGGUCCCAGUGUAUGGCUCCCGAAGAGAGCAGACAAAAGAGUCCGACACCGUCUAGUGUGCGAUCGGAUGUUCUAAGGGAGUUGGUGGGGCGAGCGGCCAUCUCAGAUGAACACCGUGUGCUGAUGAAUACGGUGAUGGAGAGAAUAUCGUCCGCCGAAAGAGGAUUACAUGAAGCUUUUAUGAGUCUACUGACAGGCUUUGAGGUACGUAAAAGAAUGUAUGAUAGUCCUGCACAUGCUAGGUGUGCCCUGUGUAGAUAGUAGCCCUUGAGACUCUGGUUGUCGUCGGAAACGACGACGAACAGAGGAUCAUAUUCCCAGGUAAUAACCAUACUGCCUCUAUGUGCAGGUGAUGGAAGAUCCGAUGGCUAGCCGGACUAGCGAGUUUGCCCAUUUAGAGCGGCAGUUGGAUGCGGCAGCCGCCGACAUCGAGCUUGUUAACAAAAGGCUUGACGAGGCACAGGGUAAGUGUCAUUAUCUAGUAAACGCCACAUAGGAAGAGCAGCAUGAUGCCAUUAUCUUUAAUAUGUUGUGACUGUAGAUGGAGCUGCCACUGUUGAAGCCUUGCGGGCAGAACUUGCCCGAGCCAAGGAACAAGCGAGGUUGGGUAAUGCGGCUGCUUUGAAGGCGGCCAAAGAGUUGCAAGCUGAGAAGGCCGCGCAUGGCGAGAGCCGAGACAAGAUGGCCAAGAUGGCCAUAGAAUUAAAAGCCGCCGCCGAUCAUUGCCGGGUUCUUGAAAAGGAAAACCAAGCGAAGGCGUCGGACCUUGAGAAGGCUACUGCGACGAGAAAGGACCUCCGCUCUGCUAUGAGGGCAAAGAAGGAGGAGCUGCGGGAAGCCGGGGAUAUUGUAGCUGGGAAAUCCUUUAUGUUGCGUAGGAAGUUCGGAGAUCCACGAUAUGCCCCUCUGGAUCGGCUGUGGAGUUCGGAGGAUGUAUAUAUGGAUUUGGCGGCGAGCGUUGCCGAUGCGGCCAAGUAUUUCCAGGGUCAGACGGACUGUGAAGUAGACCAACUGUUUUGGAGAUAAUUCCAUUCUCCCGAGCGUCCGCUUUCAUUGACUGACCAAUUAGCCGAAUGGGCCGAACUAAAUAGGUUGCCCGGACUCUCCAUGAGGUCUGUUGUGGAUCAGCUAUGGCCGAAAAGGUCAAAACUGAACAACUAUUUCAGCUUGGUGCAGCAGUUCCUUGACGUUGUGCCGCGCAUUAAUGCGAUGAAGAGGUUGGCGUGCAUAGAGGGCGCACGGAUGGCCUUUGCCCGUGUUAAAGCAUACUGGGCGAAGAUGGAUGCUACCACUGUUGCAGCGCGGGAUUCGGCCAUAGGUCGAAGGGCUCCUGAGCACUACUUUGAAGAAGUUCUUGAGGGUGCUCGUUUGAUAGAGACCCAGUGCUCAAAAAAUAUUAUGUUUGAGUGAUAUGUAAUCUCAUUGUAAGCGAAAUGCUUUUAUAAAUUUUUAUAAGGCUAUUUUUAUACUUUUGCCUGAAAGUAACAUGGUGCCUCCUGGGCGGCCGUUUAUGUAUACAUGUGUAUAACCUGAAAGAUUGCAGCCGUCGGCUUCAACCCUCACGCAUAUAAGCGGAGGUGCUCGCAAAAACACGCAUUCACACUUAACCCAACGUCUUGGUCCUAUUAAGGAGGUGAUAGCAGAGCAAGCGAGGCAACCGGACUAUAAUGCUUUAGCGCUUUCACUUAGCCAUAGGAGUUUGACAGUGGGGCUACUAAAUAGCCCCUGGUGGCUCCGCACUUUCCCGAUCCUGGGGUGCGUACAUGCCUGGCCGGAAAACGGCCCUUCGUUAAGGCGGAGGAAUUUUAACAUUCCAACAAGUCAUCGAGUGGUUGACCAGUCUCACGCUAUAUCAUGACAGUCAAUUUUCGGCUUUCUCUACUGAGGUGCUCGUCCGGAUGAACCAGGGCACAAUCGCAGUAGUUCUCCUGGUGCUACCUUAGCCAGUAUAGCGGAACGUAAGGCACCAAAACACAGGAGCCGGGCAAACCCAACAUUUGACCAAAGACAAUGAUUCGGAGCUGAUGCAUAUAAGGCCAAACUCGCGACGCCGAACACUCCCUAAGGUAUUCGGUCUUAGUGGUAUAAACCGGGCCUAAAUAAUGUCCUUUGUAAGAAGCCCCUUGUGUCCAGGUACGUGCAUUGUUCUGGCGUGGCCACAUGCCAAGACGUCAGCAUCCUUCUCAACGGUGGAUAUGUAUCAACAAGAGACAGUAAAAAGGUUUAUGCAGGGUCUUAAUCUAAAAAGAAUCCUUGGAGCGGGUCCCUGCUGCACGUCUGCACCUGUGUCUCCGUUGUGCCGUAUCCUGGACGGGUGUAGCACGAUGAUCGUUUGUAAAAGAGAGGAAUUUAGGUGAAAAAGUUGUCGUGCAAAAAGAUAGUUUUUUAAGGAAACCAUGUAUAAUUCAAGAUGAGAAGAAAUUGCCACUUGUCUGCGCGCGUUGAGCCCCUUGUAUUGACAAAUAGGGGUGUGACCAUUUAUUUGGUAUGAGUAGCGGCGCCGGACUCGAUUAGUUGUGUCUGAGGUCUUGACGACCUAUUGGAUGAUUUCGCUGGUCCGGGCGCCUUUAGUGUGCGGCUGCCGAGGCAGCCUCACUCGCUUCGGCGCGCAGGGAUCGCUUAAUAUUUCCGUGCACUGAAAUGAUGCCACGUGGACCGGGCAUCUUGAGUGUGAGGGAGGCGUAGUGUGGUAUUGCAUUAAAGCGAGCAAAAGCUUCGCGUCCAAGCAGUGCUUGAUAGCCACUUUGAAACGGAGUGAUGUGGAAGGUUAAAUGCUCGCGACGGAAGUUAUCGGGGGAGCCGAAUAUAACCUAUAGUAGGAGGGAGCCCGUACAACGAGCCCCUGGGCCUGGCGUUACUCCUUUAAAGGUAGUAUUGCUAUGGCGAAUUUGUGUUGGGUCUAACCCCAUCCCGCGGAUUGUAUCCUGGUAUAUUAGGUUUAGGCUGCUGCCGCCGUCCAUCAAGACUCGUGUGAAGUGAUAUCCGCCAAUUACUGGGUCUAAUACCAGGGUAGCCCAUCCUGCAUGUCGGAUACUUGCUGAGUAAUCGUGAUGGUCGAAAGUGAUCAGUUGAGACGACCAGUGGUAGGACUUCACGGUGACAGGCACUUGGGUAUAUUUUCCUGGGAGUGCCGUGUUGUUUUUUCCCUUGAUCACGUGUAACACGUUUAUUGUUUUGACUUCUGGCGGAAAUUUCUUUUGUUCCCCCGUGUCUUGCUUGGGAGGCUCGUCCUCGUCUUCACUUGGUGUAUCCUCCCCCUUGUGUACGGUGUUGAGCUUGCCGGACUGCUUGAAGACCCAACAUUCUCUAUGGGUAUGAUUAGCAGGUUUACCAGGGGUACUAUGGAUCUGACAUACUUGGUCUAGAAUUUUGUUGAGGCUGGACAGUUCAUCCCUGGUGUCUUUAGGGGGCGGCUUUUGACCUGGCCGAGAGCUUUUGAAUCCGGCAUUUACUGCCGUGCCCUUCGUGCUGUCUUCUUUAUUCCGGCGUUUGUUAUUGCUGUUGCGCCGUGAUUUCCCGUUUCCAUCUCUAACUUCAGAUGUACUGGGGUCGCUGGUGCUGCAUCUGGCUAGCCAGCUGUCCUCACCCGCGCAGAAGCGGGUCAUGAGGUUUGUUAAUGCGGCCAUCGUUCUCGGCUUAUUUUGGCCGAGGUGUCUGGCGAGCCAUUCGUCGCAGACGCUAUGCUUGAAAGCUGCCAAGGCUUCGGUGUCCGGAUAGUCGACAAUCUGGUUCUUUUUAGUAAGAAACCUUUUCCAAAGCUUUCGGGCUGACUCUCCAGGCUGUUGAGUUAUAUGACUCAAAUCGUCCGUGUCCGGAGGUCGGACAUAAGUCCCUUGAAAAUUUGCCCGAAAGGCGUCUUCGAGAUCUUCCCAACUUCCAAUGGAGCUUUCGGGGAGGCCUUUGAGCCAGUGACGAGCUGACCCUUUGAGCUUGAGGGGUAAGUACUUGAUGGCGUGGAGAUCAUCUCCUUGAGCCAUAUGGAUAUGAAGGAUAUAGUCCUGAAUCCAGACCCCAGGGUCUGUUGUUCCGUCGUAUGCCUCUAUGUUUACGGGCUUGAAUCCCUCUGGAAAUUCAUGGUCCAACACCUCAUCGGUGAAACAUAGGGGGUGUGCGGCACCCCUGUAGCUGGGUGUACCGCGUUGUUCGGAUGUUUGUUGUGUUGCAUUGUAUGCCGGGGCGCGCUUGCGUGGUCCAUAGAUGGAUCUUGUUGCGCCGUCCUUUGGGUGCGAGCCCUCGCAUGGGUCGCGUGUUGUAUUGUGAGUGGUGUUAUAUGCCGCUCUGUGUUGAUAGAGGGGUCGUCUAUCCGACUAGGUGGCUGCUUUGAUAUUUGGUUGUGGGGGGUCUGAAGCUUCCUCAUCGAAUUCAGGUAGCAGCUUCUGCUUUGGGUAGCUCUUGGAGGGGUGAUUGUCGCCGUACAUCGCUGCUGUGUUGAGUAUUUUACUCCAUCUCAUGUGGAGUGUGUCUUGCGCAGCCUUGAGCCUUUGCUUCUGCUUUUUCAGACUCCUCGCGGUGGCAACAAGCCUUUUACGGGCAGUCUGCUGCUCCGGGUGCCUGUCCGGCGUUAUGUCGUCCGGACCAUUAUCCUUGAUAGGAUUUGUUUGUUCGGUUUGAUUAUCCGGAUUGCCAUUGUCCGGCAGCGGUUCACCCUGCUCCAGCGCUGGGUCUGUGUGAUCGCUAUUUCUGUCGAAGCGGGAUUUGGGGCGGUGCUUGCGUCGCCGCUUUGACUGCUUUUCGAGGGAACAGGCCUUCGGUGCGUCCUUCCGCUCCUCGUCGUCAUCUUUUGAUGCGUCCACCAUGUAUACGUCAUAUGACGAGGUGGCAUUCCAGGGCCCAAUAGGCGCUGGUUCUUCAUCGUCUCCUUCAUCGGCGUCCAUACCGUCGAUGUCUUCGGAAUCGAAGUCGAGCAUGUCGGUUAAAUCAUCGAUAGUGGCUACAAAGUGGGUGGUGGGUGGGCUUUGAAUUUCUUCAUCGUCCGUAUCCCAAUCUCGCUGAUCGUAGUCCGGCCAGGGCUCUCCUGAUAAAGAGAGAGACUUUAGUGAUUUCAUAAUAUCACCAAAGGGCGAGUGCUGAAAGAUGUCCGCGGCAGUAAACUCCAUGAUCGGCGCCCAAUCGAAUUCGAUCGGUAGAGGCGCGAAUGGUUCGGAGUCCAGAGAGGAGUCCGGCUCCUUGGAAUCACGAGUCUCGCGGAGUGCGGGGCUGGUGUUCGGCUCGAUCGCCGUUAGGAUCGCAGCCCCUGAGGCGGCGUCCAUCCACCCAUCCUCGAUCGGCGCAGUUGGCUCCGAAUUAAGGGUCGAAGCCGAUGCGAGUGCGGCCUUCAGGGCACUGUUAGGCGGAAGAGCUAGAUCAUGCUCGUCGUGGCAGUGCGGCGCGCUCGGCAGUGGCUCGAAUCCGUCGAAGAUCAAGUCCCCGCGGAUGUCAGCCGUGUAGUUUAAACUUCCAAAUCUGACCUGACGGCCAGGGGCAUAGCUUUCGAUCUGCUCCAGAUGGCCAAGUGAAUUGGCCCGCAGUGUAAAGCCGCCGAAGACAGAGAUCUGUCCGGGGAGACAAGUUUCACCCUGGACUGCAUCACUAUCAAUGAUCGUAGGAGCCAUCAAGCCUGACGGCGACGACACAGAGGAACUCUCAAUGAAAGCACCAAUGUCGGUGUCAAAACCGACGGAUCUCGGGUAGGGGGUCCCGAACUGUGCGUCUAGGCUGGAUGGUAACAGGAGCAAGGGACACGAAGUUUUACCCAGGUUCGGGCCCUCUCGAUGGAGGUAAAACACUACGUCUUGCUUGAUUAAUAUUGAUGAUAUGGGUAGUACAAGAGUAGAUCUACCACGAGAUCAGAGAGGCUAAACCCUAGAAGCUAGCCUAUGGUAUGAUUGUUGUUGUGUAUGUUGUCCUAUGGACUAAAACCCUCCGGUUUAUAUAGACACCAGAGAGGGUUAGGGUUACACAAAGUCGGUUACAAUGGUAGGAGAUCUACAUAUCCGUAUCGCCAAGCUUGCCUUCCACGCCAAGGAAAGUCCCUUUCGGACACGGGACGAAGUCUUCAAUCUUGUAUCUCCAUAGUCCGAGAGUUCGGCUGAAGGUAUAGUCCGGCUAUCCGAACACCCCCUAAUCCAGGACUCCCUCACCCAUCUUCCCCCGUGCCCGCGACCUCUAGCCGGUGCCCACCUUGCCCCGCCCCCGCCUCCUUCCGGACGCGACGCCGGCCCCGCCUCCUCUAGCGCGAAGCCGCCGCCCCCAACUCCUCUUGGCGCGUCGCCGCCCCGGGUCCCGAAGCGCCCCCUGCCGCAGCCGGCCCCGCCUCCUCCGGCGCGAGGUCGCCACCCCCACCUCCUCAGGCGCGAGGCCGCCGCUCCCACCUCCUACUGGUGCGUCGCCGCCCCCUUGUCCUGACGCGCCUCCGGUCUCCGCUGGCCCCCCCUCCGCCGCAACCACCACGUCGGCCUCCCUCCCCCCUGGAUCCACCGCGUCGGCGGCCUCCCUACCCCUAGAUACCCCUAGAUCCACCGCGACGAUGCAUCGCUCCCCCUGGAUCCACGGCGGCGGUGGCGGAAAGCCUCCCCCUGGAUCCACCAGCCAUCAACCUCCCCCCGAGCACCUUCCUUCCUGUGCUGCAACCGGGCCACCGCUACUGCGCCACCCACCCCAAACACCGUAGCUCCUCCUCGAUGAAUACAUCACGGAUGGCCUCCUGCUCAACGAAGACGCCAACCUAACUUUGACCAUGGCGACAGUCGACAGACGCCAAUGUUGCAGGUAUUGCUGCUACAUCUCUUCCCUGAUCCCACUCCCCCCCUCUCCCUGGCCACUCUUUCUUCACAAAUAUCUUCUCUGCUGGAGAAUUUGAACUUCUCCAAAUUUGCACUAAAACUAACUGCAAAAAUGUUUCUGUAUUUUGCUUAUGAAAGAAUUGACUUGAUGUUUGAACUGCAGGCCUGUCUUCUUUGACCGGAAGACGCUCUAGUUUAGCAGCAUCAACAACGCAAAAAAGAGAGGAAGAAGAUGAAUGUCGGGCUCAUCUCUGGAGUAUUUGCAAUCCUUUCAUGCUAGGUGUUUGUGUAAAGCAUGCUCAUGCAUGCUUGUGGAAAUUGAAAAGGAAACAAAUGUUCCAGUAUCACUAUCAGCAUAUAUUUUCUAAAUGUCAACCCAGAGAAAACGUGAUGGCACGACUAGUCUAGAUUGUGAGAAGAAGUUCAUAUUCAGAAAGGAUAUAAGUUCACAUAAGCCAGUGACCAUGGACAAACAAAGACCCCAAAAAUGUUUUUUUGUCUCAAAAUGUUUACAAUAAAUUUUGUAUGUGAAUGUGUACAAUCAAAACAAUGCGUGUGUGAAUAUAGGUUGCUAGUCCUUAAUCUGUUGUUAUAUCUAUCACAAACUAUUUCCUUUGUUUUUGAGAAAUCUUGUGAAAAAUAAUAUUCCGCUCAAAAAUUCCUUGGAAAGUUCAGACACAUCGUGCACAUGGAAAAAUCAUGGGAAGUGCUUCUAGUCAAGAGCAAUACGACGCAAAAAGCGAAACCACCAUGGAGAAGAAAAGUUAGAGGGGAAUUGUAGUGUUUGUAGUUUGGAAAAGAGAGAAGAAAGUUGACGUUCAAAAUGAACCAAAAGGCAUUUAGAAAAAAAGAGUUUGCUGAAAAGCAAAAACUAGAAGUUCACAAAACAAAAAAAAGACUAUAUAUAAGUUAAAAGACAAGACAAUAUAAACAAAUUUCCGUUUCUAAAACUAAACUAAGAAGUUCAAGUUUGGAAAAUAUAGCAGGUCAAUGUUUAUAAAAAAUCAGAUUUUUUCGUAUGUAAAAAUAAAAUCAAGAAGUUCAAAUUAAAAAAACCGAAGUAGUUUAAAAAAUAUAAAAAUUGAGUUUUCCCUCUUUUGUCCAAAAAAUAUAGAAGGUCAAAUUAAAGCAACGGAGCGGUUCAAUAUUUAUUACAAAACUAGUAUUUUUCCAUUACUAAAAUAAAUAAACCAAGAAGUCAAAAUUACCAAAAUAGUGUAGUUCAAUAUAUAUCCAAAACUCAUUUUCUUUGUUAUUAAAUAAUCAAAAAUCAAGAAUUUCAAAUGAAAAAUAACGGAGUAGUUCAAUUUAUAAGGAUAACUCAAAAUAUUUCCGUUCUACGAAAAAUAAAAGUAUGAAGUUCAAUUUGAAAGGAAAUGUUUGAUGCUUAUUUAAAAACAUAUUUUGUAAGAAUAAAACUAAGAAGUUCAAAAUAAAAUAACAGAGAAGUUUGAAGUAUAUUAAAAACUCAUUUUUCCUCGUUAUUAAAGAAUAAAAUGAAGAAGUUCGAAUUAAAUACAAGAACAACAAAAAAAUUAAGAAGAUUUUCCAGUUUUUUAGAAAAACUACAAGUUCAAACUUCGCGGGUAUGAAAAAAUUGUCAACACGUGAAAUUUCCGUGUUUUUCAACAGCUUUCCACCGGUAUAUCAUUUGCUCAAUUCCGGUAAGUGGUUGGGGAGUUAGGGCAAAAUACAUCACAUGAAAAACAGACUGAAGUUCAAACAGAACUGCUGCAGAAGUUCAACAUUUUCACGCAGUGCAUUUUUGGAGACUCUGUUUUUGCAAUGACGACAUAACGCAUGGUCUCAGAAGUUCAUAUUGCUGACUAACAGAAGUUCACGUACUACACAGUGUGCAUUUUGUAUUUAAAAAAGAAUGAAAAAGCAAAGGCUAAAAGUUUUAUUGCUAGAAGUUCAAGUGCUCGGCCCGAGAAAGUUCAAAAAUUCUUAUGAAAGAGGUUGAACAAAAAUACGUGACAUAAGUUCAAGGUGAAAAAACAGCGGGAAGUUCAACUAGUACACGGAAAACGUUUCAGAUAAGAAUAUAAGAAUAGAAAACAAAAAGCUUAAAAUGUUUGUUGCAAGAAGUUCACGUGCUCCUUCAAUUGUGUGUAAUUCGACAUAUACACAAAAAUGUGACAGAAGUUCAUAUAUAGUGAAAACAAUGAGAAGUUCAAGUACUGCAAGCAAUGCAUUUCAGGUGAGAAUAAAAGUAUAGAAAUUAAAAGCUUAAAAGAUUUGUUGAAAGAAGUUCGAGUGCUCUGUCCCGGGAAGUUCAGAAAUUCUUGCGAAGGAGGUUCACCUUGUAUUUCCAUGUUAAAAAACACAACAAGAAAUUGUUUUUGCGUUUUAAAAUAAUUCUAUCAAUCCACAAAGAAGUUCAGUUAUUAUUUGGGAGCAAUUUGAUUUAAAAAAGAAAAUAAAUAAUUCAAAUUAUAAAAAUGGAAAAAGUUUAUGUACUACAUGGUGUGUGUUUAAUACGAGAAAAAUGAAUUAAAAGGCAAUGUCCAAAUUUUUUGUUGUUAUAAGUUCAAGUCCUCGGUCGGAGAAAGUUAACAAAUUUAUUGUAAGAGAAGUUUGUACAAAAGGAAUAUUAUUUUGUGUAACACUGAUGAAUGGAUGAGAAAAUUACACACAAAAAUACGUCACAGAAGUUCAACGUGAAAAUGGCAGGAAGUUCACCGACUACACUGAAUGAAUUUCAGAUGAAAAACUUUUAAAAUCAUCGCGAGUAUGAAAAAAUGAUCAACACAGGAAAGUUGCGUGUUUACAGCAGCUUUCCACUGGUAUAUCACUUGCUCAAUUCCGAUGAGUGGAUGGAGAGCUACGAGCAGUGGAUGGAGAGCUACGAGAAAAAAACAUGUGAAAAAUAGAGUGAAGUUCAAGUACACAUGCCAAGAAGUUCAGGUUCUUCACGCGGUGCAUUUUUGAAUAAUCUGUUUUGCGAUAAAGGCAGAACGAAUGAUCUCACCAUUUUUGAAAUUACUUGAAAACGGCCAGGAUUCAGAGAAAACCAUCAACAUGAAAAAGUUCCGCAUUUUCCAUAGCUUUUCAGCGGUAUAUUAUUUGCCCCAUUCCGAUAAAGUUUGUAUAAAUUAUGGCAAAAAUACGUUUUUAACCAUUUUCAAAACUGACAUAAAACUGUAAUGAAUUAGGAGAAACAAUAUAUACAAAAAAGUUUCUCAUUUUUCAAGCUUUCCUACGCCAUAUCAUUUGCUGCAUUUGGACGUACGGUUAAGAAAUUAGCUCGAAAAUACAAACUCGGUGGAACUUGUACCAUUUUCUAAAUUACUUUUAAACCAUUCAAAAUUAUAAAAAACUUUUAACAUUAAAAAGUAGCGCAUUUUCAUAAGCUUUCCAACGCCAUAUUAUUUGCCUCAAUUGGAUUAGCAGUUUAGAAAUGGCAUCGAAAAUACGAACUCGGCUGUUUGGUUUGCAGAAUUUUAUGAUUUUCCGAAUUACUCUUUAACUGUAGGGAGUUAAAGAAAACUUUCAACAUGUGGAAGGAGCGGUUUUGCAGCAGCUUUCCAACGCCAUAUUAUUUGCCUCAUUCCGAUAAACGGUUUAAAAAUGCGAUCGAAAAUACGAUUCACGUUUUUGGUAUGCAGAAAAAACGGUUUUCAAAACUGCUCUUAAACCGCUUACAUUUUUCCAAAAAUUUAACUUGGGUCAUGAUACUGAUGUCCAUAGCUAUCCAAUGGUAUAUCGCAAGCCCAUUUGGACACCUUUUAGCUGAAGUUCAACCUAGUACUCGGGGAAGGUCAGGCGCCUUACUCGGGAAGUUCAUGUUGUUAUCAGAAUAUUAUUCUGAUCCCGUGAUCAGAAUAGUGUAUAUAUAUAUAUAUACUCCAACAAUUUUUGGCGUUUUCUAGUCGAUCCCCUAAACUUAAGGUUGUAAACUUCAAUUUGAUCAAGUUCAAAGCAGGUUCAACCGAAAGUAGCAUGCAUUCAAACAUAAACAUAGAUAGUUUUGCAUAACCGAACAUAAAACAUAAAUUUAAACUAAGCUAAACUACUUUCGGUCGAAGUAGAGGUCGAGCCAAUCCUUCCUCGUCAUGUACGGUGUGCCGCGAGCAGGGUCCGGGCCAGUACUGUCAUCGAGGUCGUUGGGGAAGGCACUCCUCCACUCGUCAAUGUUGAUCUCCUCAUCCUCGGGGCCUACCUCAAAGCCCUCCGCGCCGCCUGUCGCCGCCGCCUUCGACCUUGUCAUCAGAGGAGAGCGUGAUAACCUCGCCACCCUCUAUGCUGCAAUCCUUGCCGCCUUCGACCUCAUCAUCAGAGGAGAGCGUGAUAACCUCGCCACCCUCCGCACCAGCAAAGAUCGCUCGUUCCGCCUCCACGAGCUCCGGGUGCUUCCGGUGGAGUUCUUGCAUGUAGGCCUCAUCGGCGGCCUCAACCUUGAGGCACUCCAACGCCUCGCAGUCCUCCUGCGCCAUACCCGAGCUCACAACCCCUGGCUCCGGCGGAACGAGGUCGACCCGACGUGUGCCGAAUGGGAAAUUGAGCCUAGCCGCCACACCGUGGUAGAGGACCUGCCAGCAGUUGUACUCCAUGGCUGCGAGCUCGGCCGUGUGGAAGCUACCGAGCCACCGUCGGGUGUGGGUCUCUCGAUCUGUAAUCUCGGCGACCCAUGUCCCCCACCACCGCUGCCGGACCCUGAGGUAGGACUCCGUCGGCUGCCGGGUCUGGGGAAGGACGAGGAAGUCCUCGAACUGGCGUAGGGGUGCGACAGCGGGCAGAUCAAGGGACCAGCGACGGUGGAUCGGGCCCGCGGAGGACGACGGGGACACCUCGGCGGCCACCUCGCCGGCGUCGGGCGAAGAAGCCGCGAUAAACCUCUUUUUGGCCAUUGGCUCCUCGAGCUCCGCGGCACACAGGCAAAGGUUGAGGAUGGAGGCGCCGGCGAUGGCGGCGACCUACCAAUGGUUUCAAGGGUUGUGUGUGUUUGUGUUAGCAGAGGUUGUGUUUGAGGACAUACUGCGGCAACUGAAAAUUUUACUAGGCGGGAGUAACAAGGCGGGGCUACUGAAAAUUUGGAUCAAGGGCGAGUAGAUAUUUUUGAGAUUGCGAGGGAUGCAGAGGCGGGAGUAAAAUGUCGGGGAUACUGAAAAUUUGAAUCAAGGGACUGAAGCAGAGCGGGAGUAACAAACAUCACACACAGUCCGCACAUACUAAUCGUGUGCUAUCAAAUAUUAAAACUUUCCAGGCGGUAGAUAUUUUCGAGAUUGCAAGGGACGCAGAAGCGAGAGUUUUUGGGGAGCGAGCUAGUGUGCUUGACAUGCCGGGUGUGGACUGUAGCCGAUGCACCUUCUCGCACAAGCCAUAGGCGUACUAUACACUGACGGUGCUCCAAGAUAUUUUGUACUACAUCUCACACGGUUGGUGAUAAUAAACUGUGUGGGGUCUACUUGAUUUGAAUUACAAAAUGGGGUCACAGCGGCAAUGGACGUUGUUUGAAUUGCUAGACCUUUUAUCUGCAGUGAACAUGCAACUAUGUGUGUGUCGUAAAAAAGUAGAAUUAUUCUGGGUUUGUUUGGACAUUUUAUACAUUAAACUGGUUUUCUAGCCAUUUCAGGCGCACAAUUAAAAAUUAAACUACAUGCACAUGCUCCGAUGCAUACAAAUUGGUUGAAAAGUCAAAUCUAUGUCCUUUAGUGCAUGCUUAGGUCCCAUGCAAGAAAUGGGAAUGAAUUUUUUGGGGUUCAUUUGGCCUUUUCUAUACAUUAACUGGGUUUUCUAGGCAUUUUAUUUGCAUAAUUCAAAUUUGAACUACAAGCACAUGCUCCAAUGCACUAAAGUUGGUUGAAAAAUCACAUGUGUGUCCUUGGGUGAAUUUGUAGGUCCCAUGCAAGAGAUGGGAAUGAAUUUCAAACACCAGGGCACUGUUGAUUGCCGGCAAAGCGUUGAGAUACCUAAUUUUUAAAUUCUAGUAAAUCCAAAACUCGUCUAAAAUUCAAGAAACUUGGCAUGCUAUCAUGGAGCGGCAUCAACACGCCGUGGUAAAAUUUUGUCCCAUUUGGGGCAAGUUUGGGUAUAAGCUUCUCAUAAACUAGAGUUCUUACAACAAACAUGAUGGUUUCGGUAGGGAACGUACCACCUUUGGGGACGGGACGAUAUCCAUUGCCUCUUAUUGCUUUCAAAAAAAUUCUAGUGUCAACAUAGAAUAACAGGACUGUUGUGUUUAAUCUUGGAAUUUUUCGGGGUUCGUUUGUCCUUUUUUAUACAUUAACUGGGUUUUCUAGGCAUUUUAUGUGUAUAAUGCAAAUUUGAACUACAAGCAAAUGCUCCAAUGCACCAAAGUUGGUUGAAAAAUCACAUGUGUGUCCUUGGGUGAAUUUCUAGGUCACAUGCAAGAGAUGGGAAUUAAAUUCAAACACCAUGGCACUGUUGAUUGCCGGCAAAACGUUGAGAUGCCUGGUUUUUAAAUUCUAGUAAAUCCAAAACUCGUCUGAAAUUCAUGAAACUUGGCAUGCUAUCAUGGAGCAGUAUCAACAUGCCAUGGUAAAAAAAUUGUCCCAUUUGGGGCAGGUUUGGGUAUAAGCUUCUCACAAACCAGAGCUUCUCACAACAAGCAUGAUGGUUUCGAUAGAGAACGUACCACCUUUGGGGAGGGGACGAUAUCCUUUGCCUCUUAUUGCUUUCAAAACAUUUCUAGUGUCAACAUAGAACAACAAGAGUGUUGUGUUUAAUCUUGGAAUCUUUCGGGGUUCGCUUGGCCUUUUUUAUACAUUAACUGGGUUUUCUAGGCAUUUUAUGUGCAUAAUUCAAAUUUGAACUACAAACACAUGCUCCAAUGCACCAAAGUUGGUUAAAAAAAUCACAUGUGUGUCCUUGUGUGAAUUUCUAGGUCCCAUGCAAGAGAGGGGAAUGAAAUUCAAACACCAGGGCACUGUUGAUUGCCGACAAAACAUUGAGAUUCCCGGUUUUUAAAUUCUAGUAAAUCCAAAACUCGUCUAAAAUUCAUUAAACUUGGCAUGCUAUCAUGGAGUGGCAUCAACAUGCCGUGGUAAAAAAUUUGUCCCAUUUGGGGCAGGUUCGGGUAUAAGCUUAUCACAAACCAGAGUUUCUCACAACAAGCAUGAUAGUUUCAAUAGGGAACGUCCCACCUUUGGGGAAAAAACGAUAUCCAUUGCCUCUUAUUGCUUUCAAAAAAUUUCUAGUAUCAACAUAGAACAACAAGAGUGUCGUGUCAAUUUUUGUGAUUUUUCGGGGUUCGUUUGGACAUUUUUAGGCAUUAACUGGGUUUUCUAGGCAUUUUAUGUGCAUAAUUCAAAUUGUAACUACUAGCACAAGCUCCAAUGCACUAAGGUUGGUUGGAAAAUCUAAUCUAUGUCCUUGGGUGAAUUUCUAGGUCCCAUGCACGAGAUGGGAAUGAAAUUCAAACACCAGGGCAAUCCUUUGCCGGUAAAACGUUGAGAUGCCUUGUUUUUAAAUUCUAGUAAAAUCAAAACUCAUCUGAAAUUCAUGAAACUUGGCAUGCUAUCAUGGAGCAGCAUCAACAUGUCGCGUUAAAAAAUUUGUCCCAUUUGUGGCAGGUUCGGGUAUAUGCUUCUCACAAACUAGAGCUUCUUACAACAAGCAUGAUGGUUUCGGUAGGGAACGUCCCACCUUUGGGGACGAAACGAUAUCCAUUGCCUCUUAUUACUUUCAAAAUUUUUCUCGUGUCAACCUAAAACAAUAGGAGUGUUGUGUGAAUUUUUGUGAUUUUUCGGGGUUUGUUUGGAAAUUUUUAUGCAUUAACUGAGUUUUCAAUGCAUUUAUGUGCAUAAUUAAAAUUUGAACUACAUGCACAUGCUCCAGUGCAUAUAAAUUGGUUGAAAAAUCAAAUCUGUGUCCUUGGGUGCAUGCUUAGGUCCCAUACAAGAAAUGGGAAUGAAUUUCAAACACCAGGGCACCGUUGAUUGCCGGCAAAACAUUGAGAUGUCUGGUUUUUAAACUCUAGUAAAUCCAAAACUCGUGUGAAAUUCAUGAAACUUGGCAUGCUAUCAUGGAAUGGCACCCGACAUGAUGUGGCAUUUUUCGUGUCCAUUUUGGGAGAAGGCGCACUCGGAUAAUGACAGCCAACAAAGGCAUUUUGAAAAAAUAGCUGCCACUUUAAUAUCUCAAACGUUUGUAUAAUUCAGACUGUGUGUGCUCUGUUAACCAUUCACGUGAUGCCACGUAUCUUGGUUUUAAUGGUUGUAGGAGGUGCCGUGCGGACAGCUGCUUGACAUUGACUGAACGGGAGGCGUGCGAGCGCAGUCCGAUGCACAGGCUGACCGACAGGCGUGCAAGCUGUCCUCCAAUGCGUAGGCUCAUCGAGAAGCAUGCGAGAUGUAUGCUGCGCAGGCUCAUUGGGAAAGGGGGCCCUUCGACUUCCAUGGCCGCCUGCCUUCCUCUCCAUUAAUGGCGCCCGAGCCACUGUUUAAUACAGCUGGCCUUACUGUUCGCCUCCUAUUCCCCUCCCUCCCACAGACCUCCACCAACGCCAUGGCGCAGAAUGAUAAUCUGCCACUAGUCUUCAAGUUUGGUGAAGUCGACUCCGAGCCGGAGGAGAUAGAAAAUAAGGAGGAAUGGGGCCACAUGGACAUGGACCAAAACGAGCUGGCCGCGGCGGUUGCUGCUCCCGUCCCAGAUCCCAUCCCCGCGCCCGCGCCAGUGUAACGCCCUCGAUGCGGCUAUAUCUCCCACGUGUCGAAGCACGACUUAGAGGCAUAACCGCACUGAAAGCAAUGUUGCAAGUGAGGUAAUCUUCACACAACCCAUGUAAUGCAUAAGGGAAAAAGAUACAUAGUUGGCUUACAAUCGCCACUUCACACAAUUACAUGAAUAAAGCAUUACAUCAACCAGAUACAGUCAUGGUCCGACUACGGAACCAAAAUAAAAGAAGACUACCCCAAAUGCUACACAGAUCCCCCAUCGUCCCAACUGGGCUCCACUACUGAUCAACUAGAACGAAACAACACAAAGGACAAGGUCUUCAUCGAGCUCCUCCUUGAGCUUGGUUGCGUCACCUGCUCGGUAACAUCGGCACCUGCAAACUGGUUUUGGAAGUAUCUGUGAGUCACGGGGACUCAGCAAUCUCACACCCUCGCGAUCAAGACUAUUUAAGCUCAUAGGUAGGGUAAAAGGUAUGAGGUGGAACUGCAGCAAGCGACUAGCAUAUUUGGUGGCUAACAUACGCAAAUGAGAGCGAGAAGAGAAGUCAAAAGCACGGCCGAGAAACUAUAAUCAAGAAGUGAUCCUAGAACAACCUACGUCAAGCAUAACUCCAACACCGUGUUCACUUCCCGGACUCCGCCGAGAAGAGACCAUCACGGUUACACACGCGGUUGGUGCAUUUUAAUUAAGUUCAACUUUAGGUUUUCCACAACCGGACAUUAACAAAUUCCCAUCUUCCCAUAACCGCGGGCACGGCUUUCGAAAGUUCAUAACCCUGCAAGGGUGUCCCAACUUAGCCCAUCACAAGCUCUCACGGUCAAUGAAGGAUAUUCCUUCUAGCGGGAAGACCCGAUCAGACUCGGAAUCCCGGUUACAAGACAUCCUCGACAAUGGUAAAACAAGUCCAGCAAGAUCGCCCGAUGCGCCGACAUCCUGAUGGGAGCUGCACAUAUCUCAUUCUCAGGGCAACACCGGAUGAACACUACGUACAGCUAAAACCAGCCCUCAAAUUUCCCCAAGGUGGCGCCGCAAGUGGCUCUGUUUCGGACCAACACUUAGACAAGCACUGGCCCGGGGGGGGGGGUUCAAAUAAAGAUGACCCUUGGGCUGGCCUAACCCAAGGGAAAAAAGGCUAGGUGGCGAAUGGUAAAACCAAGGUUGGGCCUUGCUGGAGGAGUUUUAUUCAAGGCGAACUGUCAAGGGGUUCCCAUUAUAACCCAACCGCGUAAGGAACGCAAAAUCCGGGAACAUAACACCGAUAUGACGGAAACUAGGGCGGCAAGAGUGGAACAAAACACCAGGUAUAAGGCCGAGCCUUCCACCCUUUACCAAGUAUAUAGAUGCAUUAAUUAACUAAGAGAUAUUGUGAUAUCCCAACAAAAUAUCCAUGUUCCAACAAGGAACAAGCUCCAAUCUUCACCUGCAACUAACAACACUAUAAGAGGGACUGAGCAAAGCGGUAACAUAGCCAAACAAUGGUAUUCUAGGACAAGGUGGUUAGAGGCUUGGCUUAACAAUAUGGAAGGCAUGAUAAGCAAGUGGUAGGUGUCAUAGCAUAGGCAUAGCAAAAGAGUGAGCAACUAGCAAGCAAAGAUAGAAGUGAUUUCGAGGGUAUGGUCAUCUUGCCUGAGAUCCCGCAAGGAAGAAGAACGAGUCCAUGAAGAAGACAAACGGACGUAGUCGAACAGAUCCUCACAACGCGACGUUAUCGGAACUAACCCGAAGAAGCAACACCUGAAAGAAAGCAAACCACAUGGUAAACAACCAUCACAUAAGCAUGGCACGAUGCGCAAACAAGUAUGUUGCAUGUCCGGUUUAAUGAGGCAUGGCAUGGCAAAGUGCACAAACAAUCCUACAAAUUAAGUGGAGCUCAAUAUGCAACUCCGUUGCAUAUUGACGGAACACCACAUCAAAUAUUUAGUUCUCUCUCGAUUAUGAACCCAACAAUAUUAAAUGUAGCUAAACAUGUCAAGAGGUGAAACAUAACAAAAUAUACCAUCUAAACAAUUUAAAUGGGGCCGGAUAUAACAAACAACAAAUCCAGUAAAUCCCCAUAUGCAUUUAGCAAUUUAAUGCAACAACAAUUUUAAACAUUCUUGAAGUUGUUAUCAUGAUGUGGAUGACAUGCAAGUUUUAUGCAAUAUUUAUGAAUAAGUUGAUAAGAGCAUAUUAUGAAGCAUUUGUCAUCGUGGCGGAAAUGAAAAGGGGUGCCACGGCAACGAUACGAAAACGGUGCCACGGCAGUGUUCCGAUUCCGGUAACUCGAUUGAGAUACCGAUGCAAAGAAGAAGUGUGCGGAUCCGUGCAAAAGAUGGUGGGGCGCUCCUGGAUUCCGGGUGUCCCACGAGUUGGCGACAAGCAAACGAGUGACAAUUUGGACAUGGUGCAAACACAAGCAUCUCAAACAUCGCAAGCAUUCAUUCACGGACGUCGUCUCGGGGUUAUACCUUCGGAGCAUGCAAAGGGGACGGUUCUCAUUCGUAGAGGGAAGUAGGCGUUUCGCGAUGGCGGUAGUGUAAGUAGUCGUUCUCGCUUCAUAGAUGUUCACACUCCGUAGGUGUUCGGGGUCAACAAGGAACUUGCUGUCCACGGGUCUUCGAGGGUCGACGGUACAUGUUCUGUAAACGUUCGAGCGGCGGUAGUGGUACACAUUCACGGAGUAGGUCAUACACGUCGACGGUCUAAUCGGAACCUCAUCAACAUUCGCGAUCCACCUUGGUGAUCUGAUGGGGUACUUGGCGUCAUGGUACUUGGGUCUUCGGACUUGCCGGUCUCGGUUCUUGCGACGGUAGUUGUACAAGGUCAUAGUGGGAGGUAGUGGUACUCGCGAACUUGUCGGAUCCACGGCGAUGGUAGUGGAACCUCACGGAUUCGUGGUCUCCGGGCGGUCUCGGUCUUGACGGAGGGGUACUUGACGCAUCCCGGAUAUGUAGUCGUACACGGUGUUACAUGUAGCCGAACUUGAGGUGGUCUUGGUGUCGGACUUGCGGCGUUGGGACAGAACCAUGGCGAGGUUCAACAGCUACCCCACGUCCAUGACGAAAAACGGAGCUCGGGCAGAGAGUCUAAACAGCUAGCAGGGGCGUGGGUGGAGCAACAACAUAACACCAGCAAAGGCCAUGGCGACAUGGAGCCUUGGGCGCCAUCGGGGUGGAAGGGUGCGGUUCCUGCCAAGCUCUCGGAAGGGCCGGCCAUGGAGGCAGGAAGGUGACGACGCUGGGGAUUGGUGCUGGUGCUCCGGCGAACUCCGGCAACGCAGACGACGAAGGGAGCGAGUGGCGCGAGGCUCCUGCUGGGCGCUCGAGGUGGCGUAGGCACGCCGGAGCCACCAGACGAGAUGCAGGUCACCGGGAGGUUCGGCAGGGGCGCGGGGCAGCUCGCGGAAGCACCGAUGGUCGAGGACGGCAAAGUAGAGGAGGCCGACAAGGGGAUUGGGCGUCGGGUCGACCUCCGGUGGCAGCGGAGCUAGGGCUCACCGGAGCAGGGGGACCGUGGCUCCAUGGGGCGGCGCUCGGGGUAGGAGGCGUGGACACAGGGACUUGGCGCGGCGGCUCCUCAACGCAGGAAGCGGCAGCGAUGGUGUCCCGCGACGGCGAGGGCGCAUGGCGGCGGGGAGGAUCGAGGAGAGCUGUUGUUGCGAGCGAGAAAGAGAGAUCGAGGGAGAUGGGAUCGGGCAGAGGAGGGGUAGAGCAUGGUGCCUCCUCUCCUGGCGGCGCGAGGGGCAAGCAAGAGGGAGUGCUGGAUGAGGGGAUUGGGAGAUUGGGCUUAGAUUAGAUGGGCUAGAUGGGCCUAGGGUUAGAAGGGAAAAGGCUGGCCUAAAGGCCGGUGCAGAUGGGCUGCGGGGAUAGGCAGGGGCGCGGCUGGGCCUAGGGAUGGGCCCUAGAGGCCGGAUUGCUGGGCUCUCUCCUCUGUCUCCUUCUAUUCUUUUAAGAGAAAAGAAAUAGAGAAAAAAAGGAGGGUUAAGGAAAGGAUUUUGAGCAUGGGGAUAAUUUUCCCGAACUCACAAAAAUAUGCUCGUUCCAAGAAAAAUAGAAAAAGCCCGGUCGAACAAAAGAUUUCAAACUCAUUUGAAUUUAAUUCAAAUGGGUUUGAACUGGGACGAGGUUUUUGGAGUGACCAAAAAUGUUGAAAUUUUAGGUGAAGCUCCAGAAAAUGACGAAAGGAUAUAAGGCAAGGUUACAGAGUCAACACUCCAAGAAGAAAAGGCCAAGGAAUUAAUAUGCAAGUGUGUUAUAGGUGAUUCCAAAGUUAAUGUAAUAUUUAUAAUAGCUCUCUAAAUAUCGAGAGGAUAUGUUGUAAAGAGAAUCACCAUGUGAAUUCCCUCGGUUUAAAUGAAUCAAAGGUCCAUGCCAUUAUUUAGUUGAGUUAAGAAAAUAAAUAAAUGACAUAAUGGCAAGAAGACAUUAUGCAAUGCACAUGAUGCAAAGAACCAAAACAAAACAUGGCAACACUCGGGAACAUGGAAGGCAUCUGAAGCUCCGGUCUUGGGGCGUCACAACACUCCUCCACUACGAGAGGAUCUCGUCCCGAGAUCUCGGAUGGCACCGGAGGGACAACGGAAGAGAAAGAGAAAAGGUAAAACUAAGUUGCUUCUUUGACAAACGAGUGAAACCAAACAACCUUGAGAGGUUGAACCAUUUCGAGAAAAGAAUACAAUGGAGAUUAACAAAGUUGAAAACACUCCGUUAGAAAAGAGGAACAAGGAACAUUACGAGAACCUUGAGGUUGAAGGGCAAGAUAUAUAUAUAUUAAAACCACUCUAGUUAAGUCAAGAUAGAGAAGGAUUAAGAAUGAUAUAAUUUGGACAUCACUCUGACUGAAAAUGGAAGGAAUUAAAAUCAUGAACUUGACAAGAUGAGAGGAUACUUGAAUGGAGGACACGACACUCCGGUUAAAAGGAUAAGCAAAAGAAAGAACAUGAUCUUCACAAAACAAGAAGAUUGAUUGAAGAGAGCCACAUCACAAUGACUCCGGAAGAAAAGAGAGAAUGAAAUGGAAUGAACGGAGGAGAAAAACAAAAUCGUUUAUCUCGAAUGAGCUUGAAAGCAUCUUAGGGGAAGGGUCGAACGUAAUUGUUGGAAAACCAACAACGAAAAGAGUAAGCUUGUAGUGGGCUUAUGGAGAAUAUCUCAAAAUUAUGAGGUGAAAUUCUGCCACAAAAGGAAAACAGUGGAUUGGAUUGAUAUCAACAAGGAGACGGGAAACUUAUUCCACUGGAAGGAUAAAUGAAGAACUUGGGUCAUUUAUAAGCACCAUAAAUAGCAACAGUCCUUAGGGAAAGCUUUAGGUGAAAUAUAACCCAAGAUAAAUCCAACGAAGAAAUUGAUGGGUUUAAAUAUCUCAUUCCUGACAACUUUUGAAUCAUGAAACAUGAAGGGAAAUUGUCAAGAAAGACAUAACAUCAUCUCAAUAGAAAAGUUAAAAAGAAUUGCACUCUGGAAUGCAAGUAGAAGAAUGAUUGAGCUCCUUAGAAAAGAAUCUCAAUGAACACUUGGAGAAGGGAUUAUUUCCUUGAUGAACCAUCGUGUAGAACAUCCAUGAAGAACUCCGGUAACAAAAGGAUGAUCAAACGGAAGGAAAAAAGAGGUUGAAAACACAAGGUGAAUCCUUGUACCGAUUUAGAUGAAUCUCCAUGGUGAAAUAGUUGAAAAAAAGAUUGGAACUCCUGGAAAAGAGAAGAUGAACAAUUGAAAUCAGGAAUUUGAUGAACCUCCGGAAUAAGGAAUUAAUCAUCUGGGUGAAUCAAGAAUAAGAAUUAUGUUAUGCUCCUUCUUCACCAAUUAAAUUGAUGACGAGCAAACCGAUUGCAUACAACUUAUUCUCAUAGAAAAGAUUAAGAGAGAUAUAACAUGAACUUGAGAAUGUCUUCAAUGAACCGCCGGUAGGAUUAGAACAUCGAAUAAAUUGAUAUGAUAAACGAAGGAAGAGGAACUCUUGAACGAACCACCGUAAGAAUUGAAAAUGAACGAAGUAAAGGGAUGAAUCACCGGGAAGAAUUAUAAAUAGCACAAAGAUACUUGAGAGGAUUUAGAUACAAGCGAACGGAGAGAUCAUGAUUAAAGAAUAUUUGAAUGAUGCACCGGUAAGAUUUGGAGAAUGAGAGCUGCCAGCUGAAAUGAAUAAUAAUGAGAUGAUGGUCUCCGGAGAAUCAAACUGAAAAGACUCCUGAAUUUGCACCGGAUAGGUGAAAAGAAUUCCCACAAUCGAAAACAAUUAUGAGAGGAUGGCAACAAGUUUGAACUACGCAUCUCUGAGAGAAUGGUUAAGAUUUUGAGGAAAACUCUUCUUCGGUCAUCAAAAUCUGAGAAUUACGAUGAGAAACACCACCAAAUUGUUGAGAUACUCCGGAAUAAAGAUGAAUGGAAAAGUUGAACCAACGAUGAAAAGAAUUUGAAAGAUCUUGGAGAAAAGCAUUUGACUGACGAAAAAUUCAUUCUUACGUCAAACUUGGAAAAGAAUUUGAGAGUAACGCUGGGAAAAGAGAAGAGUCAGGUAGGAUCCUGGGAAAAGACCUAUGGGUUAGGGCCCACUCAAAAGAUACACCGUUGAACGAUUUGAAGGAGAGACUGCACCGGUUGAAUUAAAUGGCUUGAAUAUGAUAGGACCUCGAAAUAGCUUGAAUGAAAGCAGAGUGGAAACACGAAUCUUCAAGAUAUCUUCAGCACUCCGGUACAAAUGAAUAACGAAAAGUUAGUGAUUGAGAGGUGCACCGGCAAGAGAAGACAUUUGAAAUAAGGAAAAGAAUAUGAUCAAACACCGAAAUCUUGAUUUGAAUCCACCGGAGAAGAGAACGAGUGAAGAGUGAUGAACUUGAAGCUCCGUUAGAAUCUUCCUGAGAAUCACCGGAUAAGAACAUUGACGGAAAAGAAUGGAGAGACUUCACAUCCAUAAGAUGGAUGCUUGAUUAAGACAUCUGAGUCCUUGAGGGAAAAGGGCGGGCGGGCGGGAAAAACAAAGACAAUUUGGAGACAGAUGAAAAGAACACCAUUGAGAAGAACUGAUAAUUGAUCUUGCGGACGUUGAAAAUUAACGGAUUCGCUUGAGGAGAAAACACACUGGUUUAAAAGGAUUGACAUGACAAUAUCGAUUAUCAUGAAGGGUUGGUAUUCACAUAGGGAUAUGAGAACACCGCUUAGGCAAAGUAUGGAAUCACACUUGACAUCGAAGCAACUCGAAUACCACAACUCAAAACAAAACAAAGUAUCGGCUUGCGAAAUAAGCCGGAACAAACAUAUGAUAGAGAUUUUGUCCGAAGUUUUCGUGGUGGGGCCUACACGGGCUCGAUCGUACAACACCAUCAUGUACAAGGCAAUGCACAUGACAUAUGAAGCGUCCCUGAGUCGGCAUAGCCAAGGACUCUUUAAGACACAACAAGACCACUGUAAAACCAACCGUGGAUAGGCGGACCACUAGACGUCGAACCCCAAUUUCAUAUCAUACAUCUGUCGGAAAGAUAUCCUAAGAUCUACUUGAAUUCCCACUUAUGAACUCCCAAAACUUUCCGGUUAUGCAAUCAGGUGUUGGGGAUACAGGGGAAGCAUAAUAUCUCACCCAAAGCUAGCAAAUCCUACAUCCAGCUGUAUCCAUCCUUCAACACAUAACCAAGAAACCUUCGGAAAUCAUUUACCUCAACCUUCGAAAAGCAUCCGUUAUACGAGUUAUGGCAAUACUCCCGAACUCCCGCCCCAGUAAUGGGUGGCAUCGAGGUUAUCUCACCAACAACUGCAUAAAGGAGAUUUUCGAUGUCGGCGAAACUAAACUCAGGUAUUCCAGAACUGCAACGAUAAAAUUGUGACGACAACACCUCGGAGCUCAACUCCCCGGGACACUGCCACAACCUCUAAAUGUCAGGAGGCACCAAGAACAAUGUUCUCGUCACAAAACCAUCGGAACGAUUCCAAGAUACCCGCGUGAUCCUAGAAAAAACUUAGUGAAAUUUGAGAAGAGAAGAGUCAAAACUCUACGUCAGGAUGCCUCACCAGAGUGACGAAGGGACUAAGGAGUAAAAAGAAGUCCUAACUCUCCGAUAUAUAUAAUCCUAAAUGACUCAAAACAUUUUUCUAGACUCAACAACACCAACGAUUCAAUCAAGCAGGGGGCUCCUAAGUCGGGGAAGGAUCUGAUUACCAACUUGUAACGCCCUCGAUGCGGCUAUAUCUCCCACGUGUCGAAGCACGACUUAGAGGCAUAACUGCAUUGAAAGCAAUGUCGCAAGUGAGGUAAUCUUCACACAACCCAUGUAAUACAUAAGGGAAAAAGAUACAUAGUUGGCUUACAAUCGCCACUUCACACAAUUACAUGAAUAAAGCAUUACAUCAACCAGAUACAGUCAGGGUCCGACUACAGAACCAAAAUAAAAGAAGACUACCAAAAAUGCUACACAGAUCCCCGAUCGUCCCAACUGGGCUCCACUACUGAUCAACUAGAACGAAACAACACAAAGGACAAGGUCUUCAUCGAGCUCCUCCUUGAGCUUGGUUGUGUCACCUGCUCGGUAACAUCGGCACCUGCAAACUGGUUUUGGAAGUAUCUGUGAGUCACGGGGACUCAGCAAUCUCACACCCUCGCGAUCAAGACUAUUUAAGCUCAUAGGUAGGGUAAAAGGUAUGAGGUGGAACUGCAGCAAGCGACUAGCAUAUUUGGUGGCUAACAUACGCAAAUGAGAGCGAGAAGAGAACGAAAAAGCACGGCCGAGAAACUAUGAUCAAGAAGUGAUCCUAGAACAACCUACGUCAAGCAUAACUCCAACACCGUGUUCACUUCCCGGACUCCGCCGAGAAGAGACCAUCACGGUUACACACGCGGUUGGUGCAUUUUAAUUAAGUUCAACUUUAGGUUUUCUACAACCGGACAUUAACAAAUUCCCAUCUGCCCAUAACCGCGGGCAUGGCUUUCGAAAGUUCAUAACCCUGCAGGGGUGUCCCAACUUAGCCCAUCACAAGCUCUCACGGUCAACGAAGGAUAUUCCUUCUAGUGGGAAGACCUGAUCAGACUCGGAAUUCCGGUUACAAGACAUCCUCGACAAUGGUAAAACAAGUCCAGCAAGACCGCCUGAUGCACCGACAUCCGGAUGGGAGCUGCACAUAUCUCGUUCUCAGGGCAACAUCGGAUGAACACUACGUAUAGCUAAAACCAGCCCUCAAGUUUCCCCAAGGUGGCGCCGCAAGUGGCUCUGUUUCGGACCAACACUUAGACAAGCACUGGGCCCGGGGGGGUUAAAAUAAUGAUGACCCUUGGGCUGGCCUAACCCAAGGAAAAAAAAGGCUAGGUGGCGAAUGGUAAAACCAAGGUUGGGCCUUGCUGGAGGAGUUUUAUUCAAGGCGAACUGUCAAGGGGUUCCCAUUAUAACCGAACCACGUAAGGAACGCAAAAUCCGGGAACAUAACACCGAUAUGACGGAAACUAGGGCGGCAAGAGUGGAACAAAACACCAGGCAUAAGGCCGAGCCUUCCACCCUUUACCAAGUAUAUAGAUGCAUUAAUUAAAUAAGAGAUAUUGUGAUAUCCCAACAAAAUAACCAUGUUCCAACAAGGAACAAGCUCCAAUCUUCACCUGCAACUAACAACGCUAUAAGAGGGGCUGAGCAAAGCGGUAACAUAGCCAAACAACGGUUUGCUAGGACAAGGUGGUUAGAGGCUUGGCUUAACAAUAUGGAAGGCAUGAUAAACAAGUGGUAGGUAUCGCAACAUAGGCAUAGCAAAAGAGCAAGCAACUGGCAAGCAAAGAUAGAAGUGAUUUCGAGGGUAUGAUCAUCUUGCCUGAGAUCCCGCAAGGAAGAAGAACGAGUCCAUGAAGAAGACAAACGGACGUAGUCGAACGGAUCCUCACAACGCGACGUUAUUGGAACUAACCCGAAGAAGCAACACCGGAAAGAAAGCAAACCACAUGGUAAACAACCAUCACAUAAGCAUGGCACGAUGCGCAAACAAGUAUGAUGCAUGUCCGGUUUAAUGAGGCAUGGCAUGGCAAAGUGCACAACCAAUCCUACAAAUUAAGUGGAGCUCAAUAUGCAACUCCGUUGCAUAUUGAUGGAACACCACAUCAAAUAUUUAGUUCUCUCUCGAUUAUGAACCCAACAAUAUUAAAUGUAGCUAAACAUGUCAAGAGGUGAAACAUAACAAAAUAUACCAUCUAAACAAUUUAAAUGGGGCCGGAUAUAACAAACAACAAAUCCGGUAAAUCCCCACAUGCAUUUAGCAAUUUAAUGCAACAACAAUUUUAAACAUUCUUGAAGUUGUUAUCAUGAUGCAGAUGACAUGCAAGUUUUAUGCAAUAUUUAUGAAUAAGUUGGUAAGAGCAUAUUAUGAAGCAUUUGUCAUCGUGGCGGAAAUGAAAAGGGGUGCCACGGCAAUGAUACAAAAACGGUGCCACGGCAGCAUUCCGGUUCCGGUAACUCGAUUGAGAUACCGAUGCAAAGGAGAAGUGUGCGGAUCCGUGCAAAAGAUGGUGGGGCGCUCCCGGAUUCCGGGUGUCCCACGAGUUGGCGACAAGGAAACGAGUGACAAUUUGGACACGGUGCCAACACGACCAUCUCAAACAUCGCAAGCAUUCGUUCACGGACGUCGUCUCGGGGUUAUACCUUCGGAGCGUGCAAAGGGGAUGGUUCUCGUUCGUAGAGGGAAGUAGGCAUUCUCACGACGGCGGUAGUGGAAGUAGUCGUUCUCGCUUCGUAGAUGUUCACACUCCGUAGGUGUUCGGGGUCAACAAGGAACUUGCCGUCCACGGGUCUUCGAGGGUCGACGGUACAUGUUCUGUAGACGUUCGAGUGGCGGUAGUGGUACACAUUCACGGAGUAGGUCGUACACGUCGAUGGUCUUAUCGGAACCUCGUCAACGUUCGCGAUCCACCUUGGUGAUCUGAAGGGGUACUUGGCAUCAUGGUACUUGGGUCUUCGGACUUGCCGGUCUCGGUUCUUGCAACGGUAGUUGUACAAGGUCAUAGUGGGAGGUAGUGGAACUCGCGAACUUGUCGGAUCCACGGCGACGGUAGUGGAACCUCACGGAUUCGUGGUCUCCAGGCGGUCUCGGUCUUAACGGAGGGGUACUUGACGCAUCCCGGAUAUGUAGUCGUACACGGUGUUACAUGUAGCCGAACUUGAGGUGGUCUUGGCGUCGGACUUGCGGCGUUGGGACAGAACCAUGGCGAGGUUCAACAGCUACCCCACGUCCAUGAUGAAAAACGGAGCUCGGGCAGAGAGUCUAAAUAGCUAGCAGGGGCGUGGGUGGAGCAACAACAUAACACCGGCAAAGGCCAUGGCGACAUGGAGCCUUGGGCGCCAUCGGGGUGGAAGGGUGCGAUUCCUGCCAAGCUCUCGGAGGGGCUGGCCAUGGAGGGAGGAAGGUGACGACGCUGGGGAUCGGUGUUGGGGCUCCGGCGAACUCCGGCAACGCAGACGACGAAGGGAGCGAGCGGCGCGAGGCUCCUGCUGGGCGCUCGAGGUGGCGCAGGCACGCCGGAGCCACCGGACGAGAUGCAGGUCACCGGGAGGUUCGGCAGGGGCGCGGGGCAGCUCGCGGAAGCACCGAUGGUCGAGGACGGCAAAGCAGAGGAGGCCGACAAGGGGAUUGGGCGUCGGGUCGACCUCCGGUGGCGGCGGAGCUAGGGCUCACCGGAGCAGGGGGGCCGUGGCUCCAUGGGGCGGCGCUCGGGGUAGGAGGCGCGGACACAGGGACUUGGCGUGGCGGCUCCUCAACACGGGAAGCGGCAGCGAUGGUGGCCCGCGACGGCGAGGGCGCAUGGCGGCGGGGAGGAUCGAGGAGAGCUACUGUUGCGAGCGAGAAAGAGAGAUCAAGGGAGAUGGGAUCGGGCAGAGGAGGGGUAGAGCACGGUGCCUCCUCUCCUGGCGGCGCGAGGGGCAAGCGAGAGGGAGUGCUGGAUGAGGGGAUCGGGAGAUUGGGCUUAGAUUAGAUGGGCUAGAUGGGCCUAGGGUUAGAAGGGAAAAGGCUGGCCUAAAGGCCGGUGCAGAUGGGCCGCGGGGAUAGGCAGGGGCGCGGCUGGGCCUAGGGAUGGGCCCUAGAGGCGGGCCUGCUAGGCUCUCUCCUCUCUCUCUCCUUCUAUUCUUUUAAGAGAAAAGAAAUAGAGAGAAAAAAGGAGGGUUAAGGAAAGGAUUUUGAGCAUGGGGAUAAUUUUCCCGAACUCACAAAAAUAUGCUCGUUCCGAGAAAAAUAGAAAAAGCCCGGUCGAACAAAAGAUUUCAAACUCAUUUGAAUUUAAUUCAAAUGGGUUUGAACUAGGACGAGGUUUCUGGAGUGACCAAAAAGGUUGAAAUUUUAGGUGAAGCUCGAGAAAAUGACGAAAGGAUAUAAGGCAAGGUUACAGAGUCAACACUCCAAGAAGAAAAGGCCAAGGAAUUAAUAUGCAAGUGUGUUAUAGGUGAUUCCAAAGUUAAUGUAAUAUUUAUAAUAGCUCUCUAAAUAUCGAGAGGAUAUGUUGUAAAGAGAAUCACCAUGUGAAUUCCCUCGGUUUAAAUGGAUCAAAGGUCCAUGCCAUUAUUUAGUUGAGUUAAGAAAAAAAAUGACAUAAUGGCAAGAAGACAUGAUGCAAUGCACAUGAUGCAAAGAACCAAAACAAAACACGACCACACUCGGGAACAUGGAAGGCAUCUGAAGCUCCGGUCUUGGGGCGUCACAGCCAGUGACCAUCCCCGUAGCAUUGACGGGCUGGUCACCGAGAACUAUCGCAGAGCUGGAAGGCGCGGGCGUCAGCGAGGUCUCCACGGACCCGCGCGAGCUCGUGUACAUGCCAGCACCAGCGCCCGUGCCCGUGCCCAUGCGCCCCCCUCCACCCACCGUGGCACCAGCCCCCAUGCAUUUGGCUACACCUGCCGAGCCCGUGCCCCUGCCCGUGCGCGCCCCUCCACCCAACACGGCGCCGGUCCCCGUGCGUUUGGCUGCACCCGCCACGCCCGUGCCCGUGCCUGUGCACGCGCACCCCUCAGCGGCAUGGGACGUGAUACGUCUCCCGUAUCUAUAAUUUUUGAUUGUUCCAUGCCAAUAUUAUACAACUUUCAUAUACUUUUGGCAACUUUUUAUACUAUUUUUGGGACUAACAUAUUGAUCUUGUGCCCAGUGCCAGUUCCUGUUUGUUGCAUGUUUUUUGUUUUGUAGGAAAUCCAUAUCAAAUGUAGUCCAAACGGGAUAAAAACUGACGGAGAAUUUUUUGGAAUAUAUGUGAUUUUUGGGAAGAAGAAUCAACGCGGUAUGAUGCCCGAGGGGGCCACGAGGUAGGGGGCACGCCCCAGGGGGUCAGGCGUGCCCUGGGCCCUUGUGGCCACCCCGUAAGGUGGUUGGUGCUCUUCUUUCACCGCACGAAAGCCAAUAUCCGGAUAGAAAUCGUGUUAAAAGUUUAGCCCAAUCGGAGUUACGAAUCUCCGGGAAUAUAAGAAAUGGUGAAAGUCCAGAAUCUGGAGUGCAGAAACAGAGAGAGACAGAUCCAAUCUCGGAGGGGCUCUCGCCCCUCCACCGCCAUGGAGGCCAUGGACCAGAGGGGAAACCCUUCUCCCAUCUAGGGAGAAGGUCAAGGAAGAAGAAUAAGAAGGGGGCCCUCUCCCCCUCUCUCCCGGUGGUGUCGGAACGCCGCCGGGGCCAUCAUCGUGUGACGGCGAUCUACAAGAACACCUCCGUCAUCUUCACCAAUAUCUUCAUCACCUUCCCCCAUCUAUCUAUAGCGUUACACUCUCCUGCAAACCGUUGUACCCUCUACUUGAACAUGGUGCUUUAUGCUUCAUAUUAUUAUCCAAUGAUGUGCUGCCAUCCUAUGAUGUCUGACUAGAUUUUCGUUGUCCUAUCAGUAAUUGGUGAAUUGCUAUGAUUGGUUGAAAUUGUUUGUGGUUAUGUUGAUGUCCUUUGGUGCCCAUCAUAUGAGCGCGCGCGUGGAUCACACCGUAGCGUUAGUUGUAUGUUGAUAGGACUAUGUAUUGGAGGGCAAGAAUGAUAGAAGCUUCAACCUAGCAUAGAAAUUGAUGCAUACGGGAUUGAAGGGGGACCAAUAUAUCUUAAUGCUAUGGUUAGGUUUUACCUUAAUGAAUGUUAGUAGUUUUGGAUGUUUUCUAAUCAUUCCAAUUAUAAGUGUGUAGAAUUCCAAGUCAGGGAUGACAUGCUAGCAGUGGCGUCUCCCACCUAAAACUUGCUAUCGGUCUAGUAACGUUCUCAAUUGCUUAGGGACAAUUUCGCAACUCCUACCAUCACUUUUCCACACUCGCUAUACUAACUUUAUUGCUUCUUUACCUAAAACAGCCCCUACUUUUUAUUUAUGUGCUCUUUAUAUUCUUACAAACCUAUCCCAUUACACCUAUAAAGUACUUCUAGUUUUAUACUUCUUCUAGGUAAAGCGAACGUCAAGCGUGCAUAGAGUUGUAUUGGUGGUCGAUAAAACUUGAGGGAAUAUUUGUUCUACCUUUAGUUCCUCAUUGGGUUCGACACUCUUACUUAUCGAAAGAGGCUACAAUUGAUCCCCUAUACUUGUGGGUUAGCAAGACCUUUUUCUGGCGCCGUUGCCGGGGAGUUAUAGCGUGGGGUGAAUAUUCUCGUGUUUUCUUCAUCAGUAAGUAGUUUUUAUUUUGUGCUCUUGUUUUUUAUCUUUAGUUAUGGGUAGGAAAUGCAAAAUACCAAAAAAAUAGGUAUACCUACUACACCAAUGGUUGAAGAACCACUCAAAAAUCCAUCACACUACUGAAGCUCUUUACUUGGAUCAUCUUCGAUCCCUAUGUGUUCGGGCUGAAACCCCAACUAGAUUAGUUGAGGGCAAAUCUUUAGAUGAGCAUGCUUGUUAUGUGCGGCACCGCUUAUCUCGAAAAGGGGAACUUUUACUAGAUCAAAUUCAUCAUUUGCAAUGCUAUGCUUGGAAUUUAUGUGAAAUAUAUGAUUUUACUUGUUGAUCUGAAGACCCUAAGAAACACCUUCCCUACCAAUGUGAGUUUAGUGAUAAUGGAAUCAUAUCUUCAUAUGCUAAGGGUGUUUAUAAUUACUAUGAUGUUCAAAAAAAUGAAGAAUUUGUUGCUUUUAAGGGUGCUUAUGAAAUUGGUUCUUUGAUUGGAAAGUAUGAUGCUACUCUUUACAAAUCUGAAAAUUUUGCCAUACUUCAAUAUUGUUAUGAUAAUUAUGCUUCUAAUGCCUAUGUUAAAUCAUAUAUUGAGGACUCCACCGUCCGAGGAGAGACUAAUAUUUUGCAGGAGUCUAUGGAAGAAGAAAUUGAUGAAAUUGUGGGCUCGUUGGAUGAAGAAAAUGAUGAGGAGAGCGAAGAACAAAAGGAGGAAGAGCGAAUUAUCUACCUGUGCCCACCUUAUAAUGAGAGUAAGUCUUCAACUCAUACAUGUUUAAUUUCCCUUCAUGCUUAUCGAAGGAUGAUUGCUAUGAUCCCGUUGAUUCGUCUGAAAUAUCCCUUUUUGAUGAACUUGAUGCUUGCUAUUCUUGUGGCCAAGAUGCCAAUAUGAAUUAUGCAUAUGGAGAUGAACUUGAUAUUGUUCCUUAUGUUAAACAUGAAAUUGUUGCUAUUGCACCCACACAUGAUAGUCCUAUUAUCUUUUUGAAUUCUCCCGACUACACUAUAUCGGAGAAGUUUGCCCUUAUUAAGGAUUAUAUUGAUGGGUUGCGUUUUACUACUACACAUGAUGAUUUUGAUAGAUAUAAUAUGCAUGUGCUUUCUGCUCCUACUUGCAAUUAUUAUGAUAGAGGAACUAUAUCUCCACCUCUCUAUGUUUCCAAUAUGAUAAAAUUGCAAGAAACUGUUUAUACUAUGCAUUGGCCUUUACUAUGUGUGCAUUAAUUGUUCUUAUGACAUGCCGAUGCAUAGGAAGCGAGUUAGACUUCGUUGUUGCAUGAUAUAUGUUAGUUUGUUCUCACUACUAAAUCACAAAUCAUUGUUAAUUCAAAUUGGCUUUGAUAUACCUUGGGAUCUGGGUGGAUCCAUUACUUGAGCACUAUAUGCCUAGCUUAAUGGCUUUAAAGAAAGCGCUGCCAGGGAGACAACCUGAAAGUUUUAGAGAGUCAUUUAUUUCUAUUGUGUGCUUUUAUAAAGUUUAAAAAUAAAAAUAAUGUGCCAAGGUUUGCCUUUAGGAUGUUUACAUUGCUUGUUGGUUUCUGUGGUGCAAAACAGAAACUUUGGCUGUAGUGCGCAAUUUUACAUUUUUUUACUGGAAUGUCAAACGGUUCUGAGACUUUUUGCACUGUCUUUCCAUAAAAAUUGUUUAUUAUUCCUAGUUUUUUCAGAAUUUUUGGAGUACCAGAAGUAUGGUGAAUGUUCAGAGUACUACAGACUGUCCUGUUUAAGACAGAUUCUGUUUUUGAUGCAUAGUUUGCUUGUUUUAAUGAAACUAUCAAUUUCUAUCAGUGGAUUAAGCCAUGGAAAAGUUAUAUUACAGUAGCUACAAUGAAAAAACAAAAUAUGAAUUGGUUUGCAACAGUACUUAGAGUAGUGAUUUUCUUUAUUAUACUAACGGAUCUUACCGAACUUUCUGUUGAGUUUUUUGUGGAUGAAGUCUUCGACGAUCGAGGAGGUCUCGAUAUGAGGAAAAGGAGGAGAGGCAAGAUCUCAAGCUUGGGGAUUCCCAAGGCACCCCAAGUAAAUAUUCAAGGAGACUCAAGCAUCUAAGCUUGGGGAUGCCCCGGAAGGCAUCCCAUCUUUCUUCAACAAGUAUCGGUAUGUUUUCGGUUUCGUUUCGUUCAUGUGAUAGGUGUAAAUCCUGGACCGUCUUUUGCAUUUAGUUUUCACUUUUCUUUUAUGCACCAUGCUGGUAUGAGAUAGUCCAUGGUUGAUUUAUAUAAUGCUCAUUGCACUUCACUUAUAUUUUUUUGAGUAUGGCUUUAUAGAAUGCUUCAUGUGCUUUGCUUAUACCAUUUGAAGUUUGGAUUGCCUGUUUCCCUACACAUAGAAAACCGCCAUUUGUAGAAUGCUCUUUUGCUUCACUUAUAUUUGUUAGAGCGUGGGCAUAUAUUUUGUAGAAAGAAUUAAACUCUCUUGCUUCACUAAUAUCUAUUUAGAGAGAUGACAGGAAUUGGUCAUUCACAGUGUUAGUCAUAAAAUCCUACAUAAAACGUGUAGAUCACUAAAUAUGAUAUGUUUGAUUCCUUGCAAUAGUUUUGUGAUAUAAAGAUGGUGAUAUUAGAGUCAUGCUAGUGGGUAGUUGUGGAUUGUAGAAAUACUUGUGUUGAAGUUUCUGACUCCCGUAGCAUGCAUGUAUGGUGAACCAUUAUGUAACGAAGUUGGAUCAUGAGGUAUUUAUUGAUUGUCUUCCUUAUGAGUGGCGGUCAGGGACGAGCGAUGGUCUUUUCCUACCAAUCUAUUCCCCUAGGAGCAUGCGCAUAGUACUUUGUUUCGAUUACUAAUAGAUUUUUUGCAAUAAGUAUGUGAGUUCUUUAUGACUAAUGUUGAGUCCAUGGAUUAUACGCACUCUCACCCUUCCAUCAUUGCUAGCCUCUUCGGUACCGUGCAUUGCCCUUUCUCACCUUGAGAGUCGGUGCAAACUUUGCCAGUGCAUCCAAACCCCGUGAUAUGAUACACUCUAUCACACAUAAUCCUCCUUAUAUCUUCCUCAAAAAAGCCACCAUACCUACCUAUCAUGGCGUUUCCAUAGCCAUUCUGAGAUAUAUUGCCAUGCAACUUCCAUCAUCAUCAUAUACAUGACUUGAGCAUUCAUUGUCAUAUUGCUAUGCAUGAUCGUAAGAUAGCUAGCAUGAUGUUUUCAUGGCUUGUCUAUUUUUUGAUGUCAUUGCUACGCUAGAUAAUUGCACAUCCCGGUACACUGCCGGAGGUAUUCAUAUAGAGUCAUAUCUUUGUUCUAGUAUCGAGUUGUAAUAUUGAGUUGUAAGUAAAUAAAAGUGUGAUGAUCAUCAUUAUUAGAACAUUGUCCCAUGUGAGGUUAUCAAAAUAAAAGUGGCAAGAGAAGCCCCCCAAAAAAGAGAGAGAUGCCAAAGAUGCCUACAAAAAAAGAAAAAAGAGAAAAAAAUGAGAGAAAAGAGAGAAGGGACAAUGUUACUAUCCUUUUACCACACUUGUACUUCAGAGUAGCACCAUGUUCUUCAUAUAGAGUCUCUUAAGUUAUCACUUUCAUAUACUAGUGGGAAUUUUCAUUAUAGAACUUGGCUUGUAUAUUCCAACUAUGGGCUUCCUCAAAUUACCUAGGUCUUCAUGAGCAAGCAAGUUGGAUGCACACCCACUUAGUUUCAGUUUGAGCUUUCAUACACUUAUAGCUCUUACUGCAUCCAUUGCAUGGCAAACCCUACUCCUCGCAUUGACAUCAAUUGAUGGGCAUCUCCAUAGCCCGUUGAUUAGCCGCGUCGAUGUGAGACUUUCUCCUUUUUGUCUUCUCCACACAACCUCCAUCAUCAUAUUCUAUUCCACCUAUAGUGUUGUAUCCAUGGCUCACGCUCAUGUAUUGCGUGAAAGUUGAAAAUGUUUGAGAACAUCAAAAGUAUGAAACAAUUGCUUGGCUUGUCAUCGAGGUUGUGCAUGAUUUGAAUGCUUUGUGUGGUGAAGAUGGAGCAUAGCCAGACCAUAUGAUUUUGUAGGGAUAACUUUCUUUGGCCAUGUUAUUUUGAAAAGAUAUAAUUGCUUUAUUAGUAUGCUUGAAGUAUUAUUGUCUUAAUGUCAAAUGAUAUACUAUUGCUUUGAAUCACUCGUGUCUUAAUAUUCAUGCCAUGAUUACAUUACAUGAUCAAGAUUAUGCUAGGUAGCAUUCCACAUCGAAAAUUAUCUUUUUUAUCAUUUACCUACUCGAGGACGAGCAGGAUACGUCUCUGUCGUAUCUAUAAUUUUUGAUUGUUCCAUGCCAAUAUUAUACAACUUUCAUAUACUUUUGGCAACUUUUUAUACUAUUUUUUGGGACUAACAUUUUGAUCCAGUGCCCAAUGCCAGUUCCUGUUUGUUUCAUGUUUUUUGUUUUGCAAAAAAUCCAUAUCAAACAUAGUCCAAACGGGAUAAAAACUGACGGAGAUUUUUUUUGGAAUAUAUGUGAUUUUUAAGAAGAAGAAUCAAUGCGAGAUGAUGCCCAAGGGGGCCACGAGGCAGGGCCACGCCCUGGGCCCUCGUGGCCACCCCGUAAGGCGGUUUGUGCCCUUCUUUCGCAGCAAGAAAGCCAAUAUUCGGAUAGAAAUUGUGUUCAGUUUUAUAGCCCAAUCGGAGUUAUGGAUCUCCGGGAAUAUAAGAAACGGUGAAAGGCCAUAAUCUGGAGUGCAGAAACAGAGAGAGAUAGAGUGACAGAUCCAAUCUCGGAGGGGCUCUCGCCCCUCCACCGCCAUGGGGGCCAUGGACCAUAGGGGAAACCCUUCUCCCAUCUAGGGAGAAGGUCAAGGGAGAAUAAGAAGAAGGGGGGCCUCUCCCCCUCUCUCCCAGUGGCGCCAGAACGACGCCGGGGCCAUCAUCGUGUGACGGCGAUCACCAUCAUCUCUGUCAUCUUCACCAACAUCAUCAUCACCUUCCCCCAUCUAUCUACAUCGGUCCACUCUCCCGCAACCCACUGUAUCCUCUACUUGAACAUGGUGCUUUAUGCUUCAUAUUAUUAUCCAAUGAUGUGUUGCCAUCCUAUGAUGUCUGAGUAGAUUUUUGUUGUCCUAUCUUUAAUUGGUGAAUUGCUACGAUUGGUUUAAAUUGCUUGUGGUUAUGUUGCUGUCCUUUGGUGCCCAUCAUAUGAGCGCGCGCUUGGAUCACACCAUAGGGUUAGUUGUAUGUUGAUAGGACUAUGUAUUGGAGGGCAAGAAUGACAGAAGCUUCAACCUAGCAUAGAAAUUGAUACAUACGGGAUUGAAGGGGUACCAAUAUAUCUUAAUGCUAUGGUUGGGUUUUACCUUAAUGAAUGUUAGUAGUUGCGGAUGCUUGCUAAUAGUUCCAAUCAUAAGUGUGUAGAAUUCCAUGUCAGGGGUGACAUGCUAGCAGUGGCCUCUCCCACAUAAAACUUGCUAUCGGUGUAGUAACGUAGUCAAUUGCUUAGGGACAAUUUCGCGACUCCUAUCACCACUUUUCCACACUUGCUAUACUAACUUUAUUGGUUCUUUACCUAAAUUAGCCCCUAGUUUUUAUUUACGUGCUCUUUAUAUUCUUGCAAACCUAUCCCGUUACACCUACAAUGUACUUCUAGUUUUAUACUUGUACUAGGUAAAGCGAACGUCAAGCCUGCGUAGAGUUGUAUCGGUGGUCGAUAAAACUUGAGGGAAUAUUUGUUCUACCUUUAGCUCCUCAUUGGGUUCGACACUCUUACUUAUCGAAAGAGGCUACAAUUGAUCCCUUAUACUUGUGGGUUAUCAGGACGCUACCGUCGACCGCUACCUCUCAGCGGCGCCAGUUGCCGUCCUCCCGCGCCCCGCCCGUCGAUCGCGCGACGACAUGAUGUUUGAUUUACAAGUGAAGACCAUUUUGUGCUGCCUUGAAGACUUAAACAACAGCGUCUCGAAGGACAACAACGACAAUGACGGCGCGGCACGCCGCCUCCGUCGUCGCCAGAAAUAGUUUUUUUGGGGUUUAAUAUUGUAUCUCGAAUUCUCGAUCAUAUGAAUAUAAAUUCGCAGUGUGACUGAAUGAAAGAUAUGGUUUGAACAAACUUGCAUUUUUCUCUCUUAAUGUACAAACUUAUGAAACAAUUUUCUUUUGAAAAAAACGUCAAUGGUUUUUAAAUAUAAAACACUCAUCGCAAACGUUUUAGUUAGAACACCCAUAUGCAAACCGACAACUUCCCCAGGAAGCCAAGGGAAAAUGUGCCGAGCAGGAUUUCUGCAUCCCUUCAACGCAAAUGGUUGUUUUGCAUGACCCGUGUGCAAGCACGUAUAAACAAUUGGGUAAGAUUUGCAUAUCCGUCAUUUUGGGUAUGUUGCCAUUUGUCAAACUUGAAAGAUUGACAUUUGUUUAUCUAGUAACAUUGCCAUUUGUCAACCUUGUAACACUGCAAUUUGUCAAAAUAUGCAGCUACAAAUCACUAGCACUAUCUAAUUUUUGCAACUAAAAUCACUAGCACUGUUCAAAUGGACAGCACUAGCAGGCGUGAGUUGAUGGACGCAUAUGCAAAUGUACCAUUGAUUACAUACAACAAGUCAUCAACCCACAACAACAACGAGGAUACACGUUGGAUUAUAGAUCAUUUCCAACAAAACAUUCUAGUAAAGUUUUUCUCACACAACAAAUAAGAAAGCGAUGAAAUGAACUUCAGCUCGACCACUCACCGGCAUUGGAAAUGCUUGCUUUGAACUAGAAGUGAUUCUCUGGGAAGGGCCAACUACUUUCAAUCUCGAGACCAACGCAUGACUGAUCAUCGAGGCUGAAGCGGCCUAUGUCAGGACCCAUAUUGGGACGGUAGGGAAGCAUAGUAAUGUCCGAGGUAUAGAUACAGUUGCUUCUCAUAAAUGGUAGUAACAUUGUUUCAACAGCAGCUGGAUCGCCUUCCACCAUCAUUGUAUAGUUUUGUCCAAGGAAGAGCGAGUUUCCUCCAAGACUUUCAAUACUAAACCAGGGAGAAGGUGUUGGCGCUAGUACACUAGUAUUCAUC